rnacentral:lncRNA from 1 species
CCUGCAAGUGAACAGUUCUUAAUUUUAAGUCGCAUGUGCAGGCUCAGGCUCUGUCUCUCUCUGGUGUGGCCACAAAUGCUGCAACUCGUGGAAGGAGUUGAAAGUUACAUGGUGAAGGCAUGUAACCUUGCAUGUGCCUUAACGUGUCAAGUGCAUAAUCUUUUUUGUUUGAAAGCGCAUACAUGUUUUUGGUUGUCUUGUCAAGUUGUGUGGAAGGAGUUGGAUUAUCACCAUAGUAUGAGUUGGUUGUCUUGUACUCUAUAAUGUUUUGACAUGUAAUGUCUCGGAGUCGGGUACCAAACGUGGGUCGUUGAAUAAGUGUAAUUUGUACACCUGUGAAUUGAUGUUUUUUCAUCCUUCCAAGACUCUAUAUUCCACCUGAUAUUUUGUUAAUUCAUGGCUAUUACUGCUUACAACCAUUUAUGGUUAUAUUCAUUUUUUGUUGUUUUGAUGAUAUAUACUCCUUUUUUUUGCGAAAAGAUAUAUACUUCUUACUUGAAUUACUACAUGUUACUCUCUAAUCACGCUCGGCUCACUGUAUAAUUUAUCAAGUUGGCUAGUUUGGUGGUAACAUUAUCUAGUUUUAUGUUUAUGAAUUUGUAUAAUGUUUUUUAGUUACUUAAUUUACUGACUAACACUUGUUCGAUGCACAAAUGUAAGUUCUAUGGUGAGAGAGAAUAAUGACACUCUGUAGUACAACUCAAAAUGGUAGUAGAAUAUCGAAGAGUAGUACAGAACUGAAGAUGCAUAACCGGCAUUACAGUUUUGCUCUUGCAACACCAAUGUUUUCGUGAUAUAUGGUGGGGGGAAUGUACACUUGAUCCAAUAAACAUCAAAGUACCACUUUAGAAAAAAUGGAAAGGGUUCUUAUGUCUUCCUGGGAAGACCUUUUCCCUACGGUCCAUGUUACUAAAUUGGCUAGAGAUUUAUCUGAUCAGAAUCCUUUGAUCCUGGAGAGUGGGGUGUCUCAGCUUAGUGAGAAGAAGACCAGAGAAUGAUUUGAUGUCUCUUGGUUAAAGCAUGAAUAUUUUCUUCCUAUUAUUAAAAAAAUAGAGACAAAAUGUUACUAGCUCUGAUACUAUAGAUAUUUUGAAUAUUAAGCUCAAGAGAUUUUAAAAAUGUUUUAAAGGGUGGGGAUGAAGGGGAGCCUUGGGGCAGUGCUAAAUUUUUGCCUUGUGAGGUCACGGGUUCGAGUCCUGAAAACAGCCUCUUGUACAAAUGUAAAGAAAUGUUGCGUACAAUAGACCCAAAGUGGUCGGACCGAGAAAUUAACUCCUGUAGAUGUGGAGGCUUAUAACUGCAAAGUUGAAAUUCCUUCAGAAUUAUAUGAACUGUAUGCUGAUGAAGAGGUACAGUGGUUGCAAUAUUUCAAUGAUAGAUGGCUCUUAAAAGGAGACAAUGACACUACUUUUUAUCCUAGAGUUGUUAAUGGGAAGAGGAGGGGAAAAAAGCAUUUACUCUCUUGAUAAUAAUGGGGUGGUAAUAUCCUAAAGCUUGCCACUGAGUACUAUAAGGACUUGUUAGGUUCUGCCCCUAGAUGAUUCUGGAAAAAUGUCUACUAGUGAUAAUGCUACUCUUACUAGACCUUUUUUCUGAGGAAGAGGUAAAACAUGCUAUUUUUUCAAUGGAUAGUAAUAGAGCUCCUCGACCUGAUAACAUCCCCCAUUGAAUUUUUUCAAUGUUAUCGGGAGUUUAUUAAGGGUCAUAUUAUGCAUAUCUUUGAUGAUUUUUUAGGGGAGGCUGGAUGUUCAAAGGCUUAACUAUGGAGUCAUAACUCUUAUUCCUAAGCUGACUGAGGUAAAUUCCAUACAACAAUUUAGACCUAUUUGCCUAUUUAGAUGCAUGUAUAAGUGGAUUACCAAAAACCCUGAUAUUAGGAGUGAUCCUUUUGCUCAUAAGUUGUUUAGUCCACAACAAAAUUCUUUUAUUAAGAAUCAUAAUAUUGUUGAUGAGACUCUUUCCUUACAUGAAAUUAUGCAUCAUGCACAUGUUAAGAAAUGGGAGGGGGUCAUGCUCAAAUUAGACUUUGAAAAGGCCCAUGAUAAGAUCAAUUGGGAUUUCUUACUUGCUGUCCAUAGAGUUCGUGGUUUUAAUGAUAAAUGGUGUUUGUGGGUUAAACACAUUCUCAAUAAUGGCAUUGUUUCAAUCAAGAUUAAUUAUCAGAUUGGUCCAUACUACCAAAGUGCAAAAGCGGUCCGUCAAGGGGCCCCUAUGUCUCCUUUUCUUUUUAAUAUGGCAGCGCAAUGUUUUUACCAAAAUGAUAUUGCGAGCUCAAAAAUAUGACUUGUUUGUUGGUAUGGCGCCGUGUUUGAUUGAUAAGGGGGUUGUUGUACUACAAUAUGCAGAUGAUACGGUGAUUUUUUUUGUCUCGUGAUUGUGCUAAAGCUGUCAACCUUAAGCUGUUACUCUACCUUUUAGCAUCGAUGUCGGGGCUUAAGAUCAACUAUUUGAAAAGCGAAAUUUUUGUGGUAGGUGUUGAUAAUGGAGUUGCUAGAUUUUACUCCGAGCUUUUUGGUUGUGUUGUUUCAACUUUACCUAUGAAAUAUCUUGGGGUGCUAGUUAGUUUUGAUGCACUUAAAACUAUCGACUGUGAAUUCCUUGUGGGUAAGAUGAUUAGGGGAGUGGAUGCCUCGAAGGGGCAUCUUCAUUUGGGGGCAGGCUUAUUUUGGUCAAUUCUUGUUUGUCUGGUAUCCUUUCUUUGAUCAUGUCUAUGUUUUUGUUAAAUAAGACUACCCUAAAUAAGCUUAACAAACCCACAUGAAGCUUCUUUUAGCAAGCUGGGAGACUUAAGAAGAAAAUUCAUAUGGUCAGAUGGAAUGUGAUUUGUUGCUCGAAAAAUAAAGGUGGGCUGGGUGUUUUGGAUCUUAAAAAACAAAAUAUCAACUUCCUUACUAAAUGGUGGUGGAAAUUGGAUAAUCAGGAAGGAUUGUGGCAACAAAUUGUUCGAGCUAAGUACUUCAGUAAUCAGACGGUUGCCACGAUCAAAGCUCGCUUUUCAGAUUCUCCGUGCUGGAAAUUUAUUUUGAAAGUUAAACAUAUCUAUAUGGAAGGUAGAAAACUUCUUAACAGUGGUAAUUUUAUCAGGCUUUGGCUUAGAAGUUGCUGGAAAAACCUUUGGCUGAUUCUCAUAACGGUUGGAUCUGGAAAGACCCCAUCCCUCUUAAAUUGAAAUGCAUAUGUGGAAGUUGUUUGGAAAUGUUGUGCUAGUCUAAAGAAGAGAAAAUGGUUGGGUGACCCUAUGUGCUCUUUUUGUAAUGUUCUUGAAGAUGCUCAACACCUGUUUUUUGGUUGUGGGGUCUGUAUCUGUUUGGGGCACUAUUGAUAGAGUUACAGGUACUGAUAGCUGCCCAAGGAACUUGUGGCAAAGUUUUUACUUGGUUCUAUGCUUUUCUACUUUAGGGGCACAAAUAAAAUAUGAUGUGUGUGGCUGCUGUUUGCUGGGGGAUUUGGACCCUUAGGGACAAGAUAACCUUUGAGCAGCAUGUUAUGCGAUCUCCCGUGGAGGUUAUCUUCACUGUUUGCUUUUUUAUGAUGUAAUGGGCAGGUCUUCCCAAAAGCGCGGACAAGGAUGUGUUCCAAGUUGGAUUUAGGGUGUUGAUAAAGAAAGCUACGAUGCUCGCUUGGUAGAUGAAUCCACCAGUUGUUGUGUGGGCUUGGGACAUGCUUAUGGGGUGUGAUCGGCUGUUUGAAGGGCUCCUUUGUGGUUGCGUUUUGGUGGAAAUGUUUCCUCGGGAGUGAACUAUGUGUGCUUUGUCUUGUAGUUGUGUUUGUUAGUCUUGGUUUUAGUUGUUUGGUUACAAAACUAGAUGUGUUGUCAGGUUUUUGCCCAGUAAGGGGUGUUUGGAGGUCGAGCACUCGUAGUGGGAUUUCUGGCAAUGCACUAACUCACCUCCCUCUCUUUCCCUCCUCCUUAUCUUGCUUGUGAUGUUUGUGAACUUUUGUAUUUUCGUUAAGCAACUAAUGGAAAGAGGAUGCUCGGUUGGAGAAAAACCACCAAUGUUUUUGCACCUCUCAGCACCCCUUUUGAUGCCUGGGUCAUUACCGAGGAAAUAAGAAGCGGAGCAGAGUUGUUUAUCUCUUGGCCUCUUUCUUCUCGCAGGCCACCACCUCGCCUAAGCAGCGUGGGCGCCAUCGCGCUCUCCACCACCUGACCGACCUGGAUGUAGUCAUCGUCAUGGACCUAAGUAUUUGGGAGUUGGGACUGACAUCGACGGCGGCCGCUAAACGUCCUACCAAAAACUAUUUCGAAGGUGGCGAUACGACUAGGGACGGAAGAUCUUAGUUUUUGGUAGGACGUUUUUGGACCGAAGGAUGGGUGAGCCCUGCUACACAUAAGCACUUCGUCUUCGGUAUAACCCUCUGGACACAUCAACGACCUAGAUUAAAAGAGUACCCCUUCGUAAAGAAGGGUAGGAUGGGAAAUCUAGGUGGGUGCGGGUGGCCAUGGCAUAGCGCGGCGCGCGGCCGUACGGUUCGUUGUACGCCCUUACGUGGCAGUGUACGCCGCGUGAGAAGGAGGGGCGGGCCCACGUGUACUUAACCCUAACCAUCGCCGCCCACCCGCAUUAAUCCGGUGCGGAUUACGCUAAGGCCAUUUACACCGGCGCAGUGGCAAGUCCCAUCGACGGCGCAGUGAGAAGUCCAAUCGCCGGCAUCGGUCCGCGUGCAGCGUCGAUUCACACACCACCGCCUGACCGCCUAGCGCUCGCCGACGGCUCGCGUGCACACGCCACCGCUUUGACCGCCUGCGCACGCUGCCCCCUCGCCUGCCGGCAUUAAUCGCCGGCACCCACCCCCGCGCCCUCCAGACGCCCUAUAAAAAGCCGCCCACGCCCGUCGUCGCUCGCAUCACUCUUGCCUCCCCUCGCCUUCUCCUUAUGUCGCCGGCGUCGCCUCUCGCGCCUUCCUCUCCCUCUCGCCGGCGAUGGCUCGCCCCAACCUGACGCUGGAGGAGGCGGAGGAGCUCACCCACUUCGCCAUCCCUGCCGCGCCCGACGUGCACCUGCCGGCGAGGUGGCGGCUGAGCGUCGAUGGCGUGCCGGUGGCGCCGGUGCCCGAGGUCGGCAACCACCUCUUCGCCCGCGCCGUCGGCCUCUAUCGGACGCGCAUGUCGCUGGAGAAGCUCAAGGACCCGCAGUACGCCCCCAACAACCCCGUGUGGGCGGACCGGCUCGCCGACGACCACGAGCGGCGCCUCCACGCCUACGCCGGCCCGCGCCAGCCCGUGAAGCACAACCGCGCGCGGCGGCACCAUCUCUCGAACGGGCGCACGUUCGAGGAGGUCGUCGCACCGUACCGCACGCAGGCGGCCGCCGGUGCCGUGCUCGCCCCGACGAGCUAUGACUACACUCUCUUCCGCCGCGGCGAGGCGCGCUCCACCCGCGCCUGCGUCGACUUCGGCGACCGCGAUCGCCGCACCAUGGCGAGGAACGGCGCCGGGUCCAGCCGCGCCCCUCCGCCCGAGCCAGAGCAGCAGCCAAAGUCGGCGUUGCUAGCAGAGUACAGGCGGCUGGCGGCGGAGGCCGACGACCCGGACGACAUGCCGGGUUACCUGACGGCGGUCUGGGAGUCGGAGAGCGUGCCGCAGCCGCCCCCUCAGGUCCAGAGUACAUGCAGCUCGCCCUGGUCGCCGUCCACCCGGAGGACCCGCCGGACUUCCACGGCUACCACGCCGCGGUGGCGGACUCGAUAGCUGCGCCGGCUGCGCCCGUGGCGCCCGUGGUGCCCCUCGACGACAGCAGCAGCAACAACGACAACGACGAUGGCGACGGGCUCUACGACGAGGCAGACUUCGGCGGCGUCGAAGACGAGUAGUUUAGUUUAGUUUCGAAAUGUCGUUUAGUUAUGUUUAAUUAUUUUCGUAAUGUCGUUUUGUUAAGUUUAAUUUCUGGUUAUGUAAAAUAUUUCCAAAAACUAGAAUGAAAUAUCGAGUGCUUGAAUGAAUGUUGUUAAAAAAUUGUUCAAAUUGUUUGACCGUUAUUUAAAAAUGUAUUAUUUUAAAUAAUAAUUGUAAAGUUGAAAUGCAAAAAAAGUUAAAAACAUAAAAGAUUGAUUAUAUAAGAAAUAAAAUUUGAAAAUUAGAAAAACAAAUAAAAAAUAAAAAAUAAAAAUAUAAUAUUAGCAAAAGAGAAUCAAAAGAAAUUAAAAAGAAGAUCACCGGCCCGGAGCCGGGCAGGGCGUACUAGGCCGAUCCCGAUCCCGAUCAAGCGACGGCAAAAGGGAACGCUUUUCGGCCCCGCAAGGCCCACAGGCCCAACUAGGCGGUGAAGAGAGAGUAGGCGAGGCAGUGUUUUUAGAAGGAGUACGACGGGUAGGGCGGUGCGUGCUAUUUAAGCCAGUGCGGGCGAGCUUCGGUAGGCGAGGUGGGACUAAAAUUAGAGCUCGCCUCGGGCGACGCUGCGCGUAUCGCCGAGAUGGACUAUCGGGGGUUUGGUGCGAUAUAUGCCAAAAGAUGACUUAUCAUGGUGGGGGCGAGUAGAACGUCGCCGGUGCCUGGAAACGGGAUGAGGCGAAGGCAUGCACGCCGGCAAAUCUUACCCAGCUUCAGGGCUCUCCGGGGAGAUAAUACUCCUACUGCUGCUCUACGGGGUCUCCGCAUGAUCACUAUGGCAAAGUGUUUACACGGUUGCUCCUUGAGUUGUUUCUUGGAGGUAGGAGAGGGCAAGGCUAGCUCUCUCCCUUCUAUAUGAUUUGGCCUAGAGCUAAUGGGUUCCAACCCUUUGCAUGGGUGCCCUGGGGGGUUUAUAUAGGCCUACCCCCCAGGGGUACAAUGGUAAUCCGGCGGGACGCGGGCCCAGCCGUCAGCGCCUCUGGCCUUCGUCUUCCCCGCCGACCGCUGGGGCCCGCCGACUGGCAGGCCCCGCCGACUGGCCUGGUACGGAGCCGACAGGCCGCGUCCGCUGCGGGCGGGUCUUGCCGGCUGCUGAUUACUGUGUCGUGCUUCUGAUGACGCGGGCUUGAUCAUGGGGUUGUGGCAACAGCCCCGCCGCCUGGCGGGCGAUCACUAUUGCCACUCUCCAUCCCAUCUUGAUUAAUGGUGCGUGGGCCUGGGGGAGGGCUCGGCCGACUCCCCCGGGCCGACUCCCGACAGAUCCGACUGGUGGUCCUCUUGCCGUCUCCGGGGGUCUCACCGACUGGUGGGACCCGCUACCUCUGAGCCGUACAGACAAGCCGUCGUGGGUGCAGGAUUCAGUCCGGCGGUGCUGAUGUCAGGGUCGGCAUGGCAACAGUGCCACACCGCACGGAGAUCUUCCAGGGUACGGCGUGAUGUGGCCAUGCCCGCCCUUGGUAAGGGGCGGGAGUGGGCUUCACUGUAGCCACUCUCCCGCCCCGUCCCCCUUGAUGAGGUCACGGGGUUUGUUGGAGUCGCAGCCGACUCCCCGAAGCCGGCUUCUUCGGAAGUCGCCAGUCAGGAGUCGGCUUACCCUGCGGUCGUCCCUGGGACUCGGCCGCGAGUGGUCAGUCGACCGUCUUGCCAUUGACUUCUUGAAGGCGGCUCUUCGUCCUGGGGCCUUGAGGGGCGCAGCCUGCCCCGAUGUCUUGAAAGGUUCUGGGGCUCGGGUUGGCCUACCCGUGGCCCAUUACUCCGACAGUAGUCCCCGAAGCUGAUGAGGCGCCGCGGAUAAUCGGCCGAGAAGCCUCAGCAGUUUCUCCUUCCGGGUGCUCAACACAUGGUCUUGGAUGGACUUCUGCCGGGCCGACUAGAAGGAGUCGGACUCGCUCAACUCGGACUCGCUCAAUUCCGACUCGCACAAUAUUUCGAACGUCGCGGCGGGAUCCAAGUAGCGUGCUAGCUAAGCCUCCAGGCCGCCGCAUGUUCUAGUCUUGUCAUGCGAUGACACGUGGCCGGGCCAUUCUGCCAACCUACGCGUGCGACGGGACAGGCCCAUAGGCGGGGCCCGCCACUACCGCGCCUUGGAGCCAGAGCGGAUCCGCCGCGGCCCCGGCGGACGGUUGGAAUUCUCGUGGAGUUACUGCGCGCAGUAACUUUGCCGUGGAACGUGGGGGUCGUGGGGUCGUGGGCGCAGUAAAUCCCACGACCGCCCCCUCGGCUUCGCAGCCCACGAGGCUAUAAGUAGGGGAAAGAGGGGGGCACGCGCGCUCCUCCUUCCCACCACUCCUCGCUCUCUUCCUUCUCACUGCUCCUCGCUCUCCUCCUCCUUCUUCUUCUUCGCUCCGCCGCGCGCCCAAGCUCCGACGAACGCCGCGGUCGAUCAGCUCACGAUGAGCUCUUCCUCUGCCGCCGCGCCUCCCCCGGUGCGCUCCGGCACCUGGGACGGCUCCGAAGUUCACGACGACCACGUCGAGUUCCUCUGCCGGACUCGUCGGCUCCCCGGCGAGGAUCACGUGCGGGUGCGUCUUGCACCGAAGGGGGAGAUUUUCCCCGCGCCGCAGGAGGGCGAGCGGGUCAUCUUCCGCUUGCACUGCUUGCGCGGGUUGGGGCUGCCGGCGAGCAGUUUCUUCCGAUCCUUCCUGGAGUUCUACGGCCUCCAGCCGCACCACCUCACCCCCAACACAGUGGUGCUGCUGUCCGCCUUCGUGGCCUUGUGCGAAGGCUUCCUCGGAGUCCUCCCCANNNNNNNNNNNNNNNNNNNNNNNNNNNNNNNNNNNNNNNNNNNNNNNNNNNNNNNNNNNNNNNNNNNNNNNNNNNNNNNNNNNNNNNNNNNNNNNNNNNNNNNNNNNNNNNNNNNNNNNNNNNNNNNNNNNNNNNNNNNNNNNNNNNNNNNNNNNNNNNNNNNNNNNNNNNNNNNNNNNNNNNNNNNNNNNNNNNNNNNNNNNNNNNNNNNNNNNNNNNNNNNNNNNNNNNNNNNNNNNNNNNNNNNNNNNNNNNNNNNNNNNNNNNNNNNNNNNNNNNNNNNNNNNNNNNNNNNNNNNCGGCGCUUUCAUCGCCGUGCGAAGGUCGGGGGCCGACAACCCCUUCCCCUCCAUCUCGCUGAUAAAUUCGGUGAAGAUGUGGCAGAGAUCGUACUUCUACGUCAAGAGCGUCUCCACGAGGGGCGACUAGGUCAACCUGUUGGCUUUCAAAGCAGGCCCACCGGCUGGGAGACUGCCCAACUGGUCGUACCGGGCCAAGUCGCUGACGCCCACGAGAUCCGGCGCCAUCGCGCGGCUCCGAGUGCUGACGCAGUCGGAGGGCUUGACUGGUCCAGACAUGCUGGCCAGCUUUGUGGCGCACCGAGUUCUCCCGCUCUAAGGCCGCCCCCAUAUGAUAUGCCAAAUGAGUGGGCACCGCGACCCGAGUCGGAUGUGCACCAAGGACAUGCCUCACGAGGAGGUGGCCUUCAUGGUGAACUACCUCUCGGAUAGCAAGCUCCUGGAGGAUUGGCGGUUCGGCAAGGAGCCGUACUCCCGCGCCAACCCCCCUCCUGUGAUGAGUUACCUUUCCUUUCUUUCUUUGGAUUGUCUUUUUUCUUGCCGAGUUUGUUUUGACCAGUCGGCUUUGGUCAGAUCCCCUCCUCCACCCGCCAGCCGGCACCUCGGGGCCGGCCCGCGAGUUCCUCGCCGACCGGGUGGAGAGCGACGUCGACGAUCCCGAUCUGGGGGCGGCGGCUCUGGAGGAUGACACCGAGGGAGGAGGAGGAGGAGCAGGCGACUUCAGGCCUUCGGCCACUUUCGCCGACUGGCCUGACGACGACGUCGAGGGAGAAGUCGCCCCCCGCCAUCGGCCAGGAGCCAGCCAGCCUAGCGCGGGCUCUUCUGCCGCGCCGUGUGCUUUAGGCGGCGGGAAGAAGCGCAGGGCCGUGCUGACCUUGUUCGGAAGUCGGCCAAAGAAGCCCAAGGGUUUGGCUGCGGCGACCCGGCGGGACGAGGCAGCUGCGAAGGCCAUCCGCUUCCGUAAGGAAGUGAAGAAGCCGCCAUUGGUCUCCGCGUGAGUAUUCUGUCUUAAUGCUUUAUUUUUCUUUGUGGCUUUGUCUGAGUCUUUGCUUGCUCCCCUUGCUUCAGGGCUCCCCUCACUCUUGAGAGGCUCACCGCCGCCUCCAUCAUGGGGUCGGCGGAGACGUCCGCCAUCACUCGGCGGAUUGACCCCGCUGCUGACCUCCGGGAGGCGACAGAGCGGAAUGUGCAGGAGAAGCGCAAUGAAGAAGAGGCCGUUCACCUGGAGAAGGAGGAGGCCGAUAGGGCGGAGGCCUCCGCCAAGAAAAAACUGGCGGAGGCCGAAGCCGCCGCCGCGACAAAGCGGCAGGCUGAGGAGGCCGCACGCCGCCAAUCGGCGGUGUUCGUCACCCCGUUGAACUCUGCGCCGCCGCCUCCGGAGUUCAUGGGGCAGACUGGGCAAGCCGGCGGCGAGAACCCCGCCGUGGAGAGGGAAGGCGGCGACCCUUCUACGCCGGACGUGAUCGUUCCGCCGCCGUCUGAGGGAGCGCAAGGCAAGCAGCCAGCAGACCCUCCGGUACCGCCGACCAAAGACGAGGCCGUGGCGAGGUUGCUCCUCCAAGUCGGCUCGCCGACGCGCCGCCGUAUGGAGAAGGCGACUUCGGCACCCCGCCCCCUGGAGGCCGGCACCGCCAGCUCGGCGAUCCCAGACGCCGAAGCGACGAGCGCCGCGCCCAUUGGGUGGGUGCGAGGAGGCGGCACAGGGACGCUAAACCAGGCGCUUCUGGACGUCCAGGCGAAGCUUCGUGCCGAGGGUGAUGCUCUCCAGAAUUGCACCAAGGUGUACCUGGCGUCGCGGGCAGCCGUCCGGGUAUGUUUUUUCCUUUGGUCCUUGUUUCCUUGUUCCUCUCUGUGGGGGCGCGCCAGCGCACCCACUGGGUGUAGUCCCCAAGUUUUGGGCUGGCUGCUGAGCAGGUGGCCCGGAACUCCAAUUGAUGAACUCUGGGUAUUAAUUUUUUGUCUAAAAUGCUUGACGCAGGAUUACCACAACCUCCGUGUCACUGCCUUCAACUGUAACACUGAAGAGCUGGGCAAGCGGACCGCCGAUUUGUCGGAGAGCCAGAGUAAGUCCUUUUCCUUCUUUGCGGGGAUGCGCUGGCGCACCCGCGGGCUGUAGUCCCCGAGAUUCGGGUCGACUGCUGAGCAAUCGGGCCGGAUCUCCCCGGCGAUCUUCUUUAUUGAUGACUUAACGUCUUCUUUCUUUCUUCUUUUCAGGACCCAAUGCUACUCUUCAACAGCAGCUGAGCGAAGCCAACUCCACAUUGCGCGCCAAAGGGGAGGAGUGCAGCAAGCUCGCCACGGAGCGCGAUCUGCUGGCCACUCAAUUGGCAGAGCAGAAGGAGCUGCUUGUGAAGACGCAGAGGGAGGCGGAAGAGACGGAGACCGCCCUCCUGGCCGAGUUCGCGAGCGAGCGCUCCUCCUGGUCUGACAAGGAGGCGAUGCUGGCCUCCGGCUUCCAUGAGAUUGAAGACAUCGUUGAUGGUGAGUUUCUUUACUUUCUUUCUUCGAGCUGCCGAUUAUAAGUCGUGCCGACUCCUGGUUUUUUACUUGCUUCUUCGUUUCUUCCAUCUUGGCAGACUUCUUUCCUGGGCACUCGCAGGCCGCCAUCCAAGCCAUCGAGGCUGAUCGUGAAGGUCGGAGGGCGGAGGGCGCAGAGAUCGCCGCCGACGCCCCCCGAACCCUUGACGAGCACAUCCUGAGCAUCGAGGCUCGCCUUCGGCCGACUCACCGGAUGCUGCGCCGGCUUCAGCGUCUCGGUGUAUAAUGCCCUCGAUGCGGCUAUAUCUCCCACGUGUCGAAGCAUGACUUAGAGGCAUAACCGCAUUGAAAGCAAUGUCGCAAGUGAGGUAAUCUUCGCAAACAACCCAUGUAAUACAAUAAGGGAAAAGAGAUACAUAGUUGGCUUACAAUCGCCACUUCACACAAUUACAUGACUAAAGCAUUACAUCAUCCAGAUACAAUCAAGGUCCGACUACGGAACUAAAAUAAAAGAAGAACCCCAAAUGCGACACGGUCCCCGAUCGUCCCCAACUGGGCUCCACUACUGAUCAACUAGAACGAAACAACAUAAAGGACAAGAUCUUCAUCGAGCUCCUCCUGAGCUUGGUUGCGUCAUCUGCAUGGACUCCUCGGCACCUGCAAGCUGGUUUUGGAAGUAUCUGUGAGCCACAGGGACUCAGCAAUCUCGCACCCUCGUGAUCAAGACUAUUUAAGCUUAUGGGUAGGGUAAAGGUAUGAGGUGGAGCUGCAGCAAGCGACUAGCAUAUAUGGUGGCUAAACAUACGCAAAAGAGAGCGAGAAGAGAAGGCAAAGCAUGGUCGAUAAAAGUAUGAUCAAGAAGUGAUCCUAGAACAACCUAUGUCAAGCAUAACUCCAACACCCUGUUCACUUCCCGGACUCCGCCGAAAAGAGACCAUCACGGUUACACACGCGGUUGAUGCAUUUUAAUUGAGUUAAGGUUCAAGUUAUCUACAACCGGACAUUAACAAAUUCCCAUCUGCCCAUAACCACGGGCACGGCUUUCGAAAGUUCAAAUCCCUGCAGGGGUGUCCCAACUUAGCCCAUGACAAGCUCUCACGGUCAAUGAAGGAAUAGACCUCCUCCCGAGACAUUCCGAUCAGACUCGGUAUCCCGGUUCUUCAAGACAUCCUCGCCAAUGGUAAAACAAAUCCAGCAAAGCCGCCCGAUGUGCCGACAUCCUGAUGGGAGCUGCACAUAUCUCGUUCUCAGGGCAACACCGGAUAGGUCAAGCUACGAGUAAAACCAGCCCUCAAGUUUCCCCGAGGUGGCCCCGCAGGCUGCCCAUUUCNNNNNNNNNNNNNNNNNNNNNNNNNNNNNNNNNNNNNNNNNNNNNNNNNNNNNNNNNNNNNNNNNNNNNNNNNNNNNNNNNNNNNNNNNNNNNNNNNNNNNNNNNNNNNNNNNNNNNNNNNNNNNNNNNNNNNNNNNNNNNNNNNNNNNNNNNNNNNNNNNNNNNNNNNNNNNNNNNNNCCCUUGGGCUGGCCUAACCCAAGGGAAAAAGAGGCUAGGUGGCGAAUGGUAAAACCAAGGUUGGGCCUUGCUGGAGGAGUUUUAUUCAAAGCGAACUGUCAAGGGGUUCCCAUUAUAUAACCCAACCGCGUAAGGAACGCAAAAUCCAGGAACAUAACACUGAUAUGAUGGAAACUAGGGCGGCAAGAGUGGAACAAAACACCAGGCAUAAGGCCGAGCCUUCCACCCUUUACCAAGUAUAUAUAGGUGCAUUAAUUAAAUAAGAGAUAUGGUGAUAUCCCAACAAGUAAACAUGUUCCAACAAGGAACAACAUCUCCAUGUUCCAACAAGGAACAAACUUCAAUCUUCACCUGCAACUAACAAUGCUAUAAGAGGGGCUGAGCAAAGCGGUAACAUAGCCAAUCAACGGUUUGCUAGGACAAGGUGGGUUAGAGGCUUGGUUCAACAACAUAGGAGGCAUGAGAAGCAAGUGGUAGGUAUCGCAGCAUAGGCAUAGCAAAAGAGCGAGCAACUAGAAAGCAAAGAUAGAAGUGAUUUCGAGGGUAUGAUCAUCUUGCCUGAAAUCCCGCAAGGAAGAAGAACGAGUCCAUGAAGAAGACAAACGGACGUAGUCGAACGGGUCCUCACAAACGCGACGUUACCGGAACCAACCCGAAGAAGCAAACACCGGAAAGGAAGCACACAACAUAGUAAACAACCAACACAAGAACAUGGUAUGAUAUGCGGGAUGCGGUAUGCGAUGCAUAUGCAUGAUUUGACAAGGAAUCAAUGAACCUGGCCUCAACUUGGAAAUCCAAGUGUGCCACUGGAAAGGUGAGGUGAUUCUGCUUGAAAACGAUAUAAAGAUCACCGGAAUCGGAGUUACGGUUUGGAAAUGGCAAGCUAUUCGAAUAUGACAACGGUCUGCGAUAAACAGCACGUGGUCAUCUAAAUGCAACAAGUUAAACAUGCUACAGCACCCAAACAUGGCAACAAAAUACAUGGCAGGGAUCCACUCAUGAUGCUUAACAAAAGAUGAACACUGAGCUACGGCUAAUUUAUCCAUUAACAGGUUCAAACAAGCAUGACAAAAGUGCAAUUGGUAAACAGGUUUCAGACUUAGUGAAAUUAACACAAGCCUGGAAUUUCAGAUCAGAUAGCACUCUUUGGAGCAUGAAAACUAUAUGCUACAGGACCUGAACAUGGCAAAGUAAAGCAUGGCAUGGAGCUACUCAAAGAGCUUAACAAAAGUCCCUUAGUGACCUUGAGCCAAAAGGGAUCAGAAAAUACAAUUGCAAGCAUGUGAACAUGGCAAAAACAUAAUCAGACUCUCAGACUUAGUGAAAAACUGGAGCAUGCAAAUCAGAUAUCAAGUAGGCAUGUUUACGAGAUCGAUGCACUCACUACAGAGCAAGUCAUGACAAUCUAAGCAUACACCCAUCAAGAAUACACAUUAUACAAGUUAGACAUGGCAAGAACAACAACAUAGAAUGCACGGAUCAACUACAACAUCCUCGGCAAAAUCGCUAACAAGUAGACAAUCUGCCCAGAUUCACAAAAUAACAAAAGUAGAGCUCGAUUGACUCAAUCUAGGGUGCUCCAUAAUUGCAAACAAAAACAUGGAUGAAUAGAUCACUAUAAGAUUAACAAAACAUCCUUACUGAUCAUCCUCAAAAGAGGCACGGAUCACUAGGAAACAACAUGAACAUAUGGCAUAUUGAAAUAAACAGAUCAAGGGCUUAGUGGAAUCUCUAAGUCCCUGAAAUCAGCAUUAACGAAUGCACCACUUUGCAAGCUUGUGCUAGUCACCACACAUAUCACAAAAAUACAUGGAUAGCACCUCUAGAAAGAUGACAAAGCAUAUAACAAAACUCAUGUAGAGCUCAUGGGCAUAUCAUGCACACAAUAAUCAUGGCAAAAAUGACAAAUAUCUAAUUGGAGCAGCAGAUCUGACAAUUAUCUCAAAUAGCACUCUUCUAACAGCAUUUCAGGCAUCCAGAUGAACUCAAAUGAAAAUGAUGCAAUGAGAUGAAAUGAUGAGCUCUCUGAGACAAACAUUUUGAUAUGCUAUAUGCAUGAAUCGGAGCUACGGAUGCAAAGUUACGACAUGAUGAACAUGGGCAUAUGAAUCUAAGAAUUUCGGGGACUUAGUGAAAUUAUACCUCCGCGAAAGUCAACGCGGGACGGAGAUAUCCGGGACAUGGGGAAGGAGCCGUUUGGUUGGAGGGAUGGGUGGAUCUGAUUCAUCCCGACGAAAUCUCGCGGGAGUUGGCCGGAGUUGCGCCGGAGACGGAGAAGGAGGCCGGAGACGAGGAGGAGGCCGGAGGAGGGCCGGAUCCGGUGGCCGGAGAGGACGCCGGCGACGAGGAGGUUGCAGGAGGCCGUGGCGAGGCCGAGCGGCGCCGGAGUAGCGCGGUCGGGGCGGCGGAUGGCCGCGCCGGUGAUGGCGCCCGAGGCGGUGAAGGGGCUCGCCCGCGAGCGGGAGGCGGCGCAGGCAUGGGANNNNNNNNNNNNNNNNNNNNNNNNNNNNNNNNNNNNNNNNNNNNNNNNNNNNNNNNNNNNNNNNNNNNNNNNNNNNNNNNNNNNNNNNNNNNNNNNNNNNNNNNNNNNNNNNNNNNNNNNNNNNNNNNNNNNNNNNNNNNNNNNNNNNNNNNNNNNNNNNNNNNNNNNNNNNNNNNNNNNNNNNNNNNNNNNNNNNNNNNNNNNNNNNNNNNNNNNNNNNNNNNNNNNNNNNNNNNNNNNNNNNNNNNNNNNNNNNNNNNNNNNNNNNNNNNNNNNNNNNNNNNNNNNNNNNNNNNNNNNNNNNNNNNNNNNNNNNNNNNNNNNNNNNNNNNNNNNNNNNNNNNNNNNNGGCGGGCGACGGCGGCGGUGUGGGCUCGCGCGGGCCCAAUCUGGGCUCCGCGGGCCGGCGGCGGAGGAUAGGUGGCGCGACGCGAUUCGCUGCGGCGGGCGGUUGGACGUGUCCGGCCGCCGGGCGGACAUGUCCGGCGGCGCGGGGAGGAGUGGAUCUAGGGUUCAUCCGUGAAAUGAUCCGAAAUUUCGGGGAGGGGUGCUCUUUUGUAGGUAGAGGGAGCUAGGAGAGUCCAAAUGAGGUGCGGUUUUCGGCCACGCGAUUGUGAUCGAACGACCGAGACGAUGGAGCAGGUUUAGGUGGGUUUUGGGCCAUUUUGGAAGGGUGUUGAGCUGCAACACACACGAGGCCUUCUCGGUCCCUCGGUUAACCGUUGGAGCAUCAAACGAAGUCCAAACGGUACGAAACUUGACAGGCGGUCUACCGGUAGUAAACCAAGGCUGCAUGACAAGUCUCGGUCCAAUCCGGAAAUGUUUAAUCCCCACACAUGAAAGAAAGGUAGAAAUGACCGCCGGAGGAGAACAGAGCGCCGGAAAGCAAAACGGACAACAGGGAAAAUGCUCGGAUGCAUGAGACGAACAUGUAUGCAAAUGAAAUGCACAUGAUGACAUGAUAUGAAUGCAAGACACGCAACAAGGCAACAACAGCGAAAAACUGGAGGACACCUGGCACAUCGGUCGCGGGGUGUUACACGGUGCCCAAGCGAUUGCCGCCCUGUGGCCGGACAUGCAGGCUCCGCGCACCCCCAGCCUGACGGCCGACUGGCUAGAGGUCGUGGCUGGUCGUCUUGAGGCCUGGAAGGGUUCUUCGUCCCGAGCUGGAGCGCGCCGGGCCUUGGAGUUCGUCAAGGCGUGGUAUCCGGGGCUGGAUCUAGACCGGCUGGCCACGCUUCGGUCGGCGGCCCAGCCGGAGCUGGCAGCUACGGAAGACGCCCUCGUCAAGCGUGCUGCGGCGAUUGCCGAGUACACCGACACCAGCAUCUUCGUCCUCGAGCGAUCUGAAGACGGCGAGGAGGUACCGCCGGAGUGGUUUGGGAUGAACCCGGACUAUGGCGAGGACUCGACGGAGGUGAUUGGCUCCAGCGUCGAGGAGGAGGGCGAGGCGGAGGACGGAGGCGAGACGAAGGCACCAGAAGACGGAGCAGACGGCCAGCCUCAGCUCGACCGCGCCUCCAGCAACGAGCCGCGUGCGACCGACCCGACUGCCGCCGGAGGUGAUCAAACCGAGACUAGCCAGCCGGCCGCCCCGACGCCUGACGCUGCCGCAUCGUCCGACCCUUCAAAUCCGUCAGCUGCUUCCUAAGCUGCCGCUUUACCUUUAUUUUAUCUGCUUUAGUAGUCUUUGAAGAACUUGUUAAUUCGCACAAUUCCACCCAUGGGGUGUAUUUUGAACUUCUGCUCGAAGAUUCGGCCAAGGGCCUAUGCUAUGUAAAUAUAUUUAUCCGAGUUCUAUCUUUUCUUGCUCAUUGCUCUUUUAGCUUUUUUUCUUUGCUGCUUUCUCUUAGUUGCCUGCCUUGCCAAUCGGACAGCCGCUCUGCGGACUGCCGCUGGAUCAAAUGCUUGGCUACUUUGGGAAGGCAAGUACUUAGCCGUUUUUAAGAGUUUUUGAGCAAGUUGAAUAGGAGGCGGCAAUCCGACUACUCGAGAGUCGGUUUGCAAAAAGGCUGAAAGCCGUCUUGACCUAUGUUUUAUGCUUUGAGUCCUUAGCCAUUUUUCAUGCGAAUGCCCAUUCUACCUUACUUCUGCCCACCGUACAGUCGCUCUGCGAGCUGCGGCUUCUGACAGGAGACGGUUUAGGCGUUUACACAGUACUUGUCCAACUGCAGGAAGCAUUUCAUAGUGCAAGGCGUCAAGUCCCCGGGCCGACUUGUCGAGCCCGGUGCCAAACGGCAUAAAAAGGAGUAACAUACUUGCAGGCAUAAUUUUUAUCAUACAGACAAAAGAGGGCAGUCCCCGAGCUCGUCUCGGGGGCCCCGAAGUCUUGGUACUUUAAUACAAAAGGUAGCGUGGUACAUACUACAUCAACUAUAAAAUCUUCGGAGGAGAUUUGCAUUCCAUGGCCGCUCUGUCUCCUUGCCGGAGUCGUCCCUCUUGCGUGCUCGGGGCUUUUGAGCGUCAAUCAGGUAGUAGGAGUCGUUGCCCAGUACUUUGCUGAUGAUGAAAGGGCCUUCCCAAGGCGCCGACAGCUUGUGCUGGCCAGCUGUUUGCUGGAUCAGCCGGAGCACAAGGUCGCCUUCUUGGAAAGAUCUUGGCCUGACCUUCCUGUUGUGGUAUCGGCGCAGGCUCUGCUGGUAGAUGCUGGACCGGCUGAGUGCCAACAGCCGGCCCUCUUCCAGCAGAUCGACACCGUCUUGUCGUGCUUCUUCUGCUUCCUCCUCGGUGUACAUGGUGACUCGUGGGGAGUCGAACUCUAUGUCCGUUGGGAUGACGGCUUCGGCACCGUAGAUGAGGAAGAAAGGCAUGAAGCCGAUUGACUUGUUUGGAGUCGUGCACAGACUCCAGAGGACGGCUGGUAGCUCGUCGAGCCAGCAGCCAGCCGAGCGCUCUAGAGGCUCGAUCAGCCGGGGUUUGAUGCCGGACAGGAUGAGGCCGUUUGCUCGCUCCACCUGGACGUUUGACUAUGGAUGGGCGACGGAUGCUAGGUCCAGUCGGAUGCCCUGUGUUGCGCAAAAACGGGCCAAGGCGCCUUUGGCGAAAUUUGUGUCGUUGUCGGUGAUGAUGCUGUGUGGUAUGUCGUACCAAAUUGUGAUAUCAGCGAUGAAAGUCACGGCAGUCGGGCCGUUCAGCUUCUUGAUUGGCUUCGCUUCUAUCCACUUGGUGAACUUGUCCACUGCAACAAGUAAGUGAGUUAAGCCACCUCGUGCUGUCUUGAAUGGUCCCACCAUGUCUAGACCCCAAACUGCGAAAGGCCAGGCAAUGGGGAUGGUCUUGAGUGCAGAAGCAGGCUGGUGCGGCUUGGAGCUGAACUUCUGGCACCCUUUGCAUUUUUGGACCAACUGCUUGGCCUCUUCUAGGGCAGUCGGCCAGAAGAAACCGUGUCGAAAGGCUUUUGCGACGAGCGCUCUUGAAGCCGCAUGGUGGCCGCACUCGCCUUGAUGGAUGUCUUUGAGAAUUGCUUGGCCUUGCUCUGGCUCUACGCAGCGCUGGUAGACACCAGUGACGCUGCGCCUGACCAGCUCUUUGUUGACUAUGGUGUAGGUUGCCGCCCGGCGUUGUACUUGCCAAGCUGAGGUCUCAUCAGUUGGCAGCUCUUUGCUCACCAGGAAUUUGAGGAUGGGCUGGGCCCAUGAGGGUGCUGCUACUUCUUCGACUGCCAGAACUGUGACUUCGACGAGGGCGGUUGGGCUGGGAGGCGGCGGGUUGGAGUCAACAACCGCUUGCUGGGUUAAUGAAGUCCCCAGGCCGACUGGCGCGGCCCUUGGGUCGAGUUCUGGAGUCUUCGAGUCCGCUGUCGUAGUCCCCGGGCCGGGUUCGACUGUGGCAGCUUUGGAGCCAUUUGCCGAAAUCCCCGUACCGACUGCCGGGGCUCUGGAGUCGGUUCCGACGUCUUCAGGAGGAGUCGGCACAAAAAUGGAGUCUGAUUCUGGUGAAGGCUUGACACACGGCUUGAGGAGGCGUUGAAGGGCGACGCCGGAUGGUAUUGCUUGGCGGGUAGAGCCGAUUCGUGCCAAGGCGUCUGCUUGGUCGUUGUCGUUUCUUGGCACAUGGAGGAACUCGCACCCUUCGAAAUACCCGUUGAGUUGCUGCAUGAGGAAACGGUAACUCACCAUGUUUGCAUCUUUCGCGUCCUAGUCGCCAGAUGACUGCUGGACCACUAAGUCCGAGUCGCCAUAACACAAGAUCCGGCGGAGGCCAAGUUCUUUGGCAAGCCGGAGCCCGUGAAUGAGCGCCUCAUACUCGGCGACGUUGUUGGAGGCGGCAAAGUGGAUUUGUAGUGCGUAUUUGAGCUUGUCGCCUUUGGGAGAGGUGAGGAUGACGCCGACUCCCAAGCCGGUGCGCAUCUUGGAGCCGUCGAAAUGCAUCCGCCAAUGGGUGGAAUCAGGCGCUGGAGGUAGGUACUGGGUCUCGGCCCAGUCGACGAGAAAGUCGGCCAAUGCUUAUGACUUGAUAGCGGUGCGGGGCUGGUAGUGGAUGGUGUAGGGAGCCAGCUCUAUGGCCCACUUGGCCACUUGGCCAGAAGCAUCUCGGCUACCAAUGAUCUCGGCAAGCGGGGCCGUGCAGACCACCGUGAUUGGAUGCUCUUGAAAGUAAGGCUUCAAUUUCUUGGCAGUAAAGUGUACACCAUAGCACAUCUUCUGGUAGUGGGGGUAGUUCUGCUUGGAGGUCGACAGUACUUCGCUCAGGUAAUAUACCGGUCUCUGGAUAGGUAGUGCCUUGCCUUCCUCCUUGCGUUCUACUACAAUGACCGUGCUGACCACCCGGCUGGUGGCGGCGAUGUACAGGAGCAUAGGUUCCUUGGGGGUCGGAGCCGCCAGGACGGGUGGAGUAGUCAGCAUCUUCUUCAACUGGAGAAAAGCUUCGUCCGCCUUAUGGUUCCACUCGAAAAAAGUGGUCUUCUUCAUGAGUUGGUAUAAGGGGAGAGCUUUCUCGCCCAGGUGACUGAUGAAUUGGCUGAUGGACGCCAAGCAGCCGGUGAACCUUUGCACAUCCAGCAGUCGGCUGGGUACCUCCAUUCUCUCAAUGGCCUUGAUCUUUACUGGGUUGCAUUCUAUGCCGCAUUUAGAGACCAGGAAGCCAAGGAGCUGGCCGGCUGGUACUUCGAAGACACACUUCUCGGGAUUGAGCUUGAUCUGGAAUCGGCGUAGGUCCUCAAAGGUCUCCUUGAGGUCUUCCAGCAGCGUUCCGUGCUUUUCUGUCUUCACCACCACGUCGUCUACGUAGACGUGGGCGUUUCUGCCGAGCUGCUUGAGGAGGCACUUCUGCAUGCAACGUUGAAAGGUGGCGCCGGCAUUCCUUAAGCCAAACGUCAUGGUGAGGUAGCAGAAGGCUCCAAACAGUGUGAUGAAGGCGGUCUUUAGUCUGUCAGACGGGUUCAGCUUGAUCUGGUGAUAUCCUGAGUAUGCAUCCAAAAAACUCAACAGCUCACAUCCGGCUAUGGAGUCUAUGACCUGAUCGAUUCUUGGUAGAGCAAAUGGGUCCUUGGGGCAGGCCUUGUUGAGGCUCGUGUAGUCAAUACACAUUCGCCACUGCUUGUUCUUCUUCAGUACCAGGACCGGAUUUGCUAGCCAUUCUGGAAAGAACACUUCCAUAAUGAAGCCGGCUGCUAGGAGUCGGGCUAUCUCUUCUCCGACAACUCUUCUCUUCUCUUCUGAUAGGCGGCGCAGGGGCUGCCUGACCGGCUUUGCAUCAGAUCGGACAUGUAACUUGUGCUCGGCGAAUUCCGUCGGUACACCUGGCAUGUCUUUGGGGGACCAUGCGAAGAUGUCUCGAUUCUCACGGAGGAAAUCGACGAGCUCGCCUUCCUAUUUGCUGUCGAGGUUUGCACCUACGAUGGCGUACCUCUCUGGGUGCUCCGGAUCCAAGGGUAUCUUCUUUGUCUCUUUGGCCGGUUUGAAUGAACCCUCAGCCUCUGACUCUUUUGGGUUGGGCGAUACCUCAGGCUGCUUGCCGGCCAUCGUCACAACUCGCUCAAGGAGCCGCUUCUCGGCCGCGAUUACCAGGGACUCGGCCAGCCGACUGCUCUCAGCUGCGCAAGCAGACGACUUCCAGUAGUCGCCAGCCACAGUCAGAAUUCCUCUGGAACUGGGCAUCUUCAUCUUGAGGUAGGCGUAGUGGGGGACCGCCAUGAACUUGGCCAAGGCGGGUCGGCCGAGUAGCGCAUGGUAUGGGCUCUCGAGGUCCACCACCUCAAACCAAACAGACUCUCGGCGGAAGUGAUCUUUGUCUCCAAAGAGGACGUCCAUCAGGAUCUUGCCGAUUGGUGAGCAGGAAAGCCUAGGAACAAUGCCAUGGAACACAGUUCGGCUGUUCUGAAGCUGUCUUUGCUUGAUUCCUAACUUCUCUAUGGUGUCCUUGUACAGGAUAUUGAUGUUGUUGCCUUCAUCUAUCAAAACUCGCGAGAAACGUGUGGCUUGUCUGUCCGUAGCAAAGGUGGCGUCCAGGACCAAGGCAUAGGAGACCGGACUCGGCAUCACUUCUGGGUGGUCAGCCCUGCUCCAGCUGAUGGGCUUCUCGGACCAGUGCAUGAACACUGGCGUCUCCGACGCUACUGCAUUCACCUCUUGUCGCUGCAGCCGCCUGCUGCGUCGAUCAUCAGCCAUACUGGUAAACACAACGUAGGCUCCGUGCUCUUCAGGGUAUUCAUCUUGUACUGCGCCGACUGGCCUGACAGCCGGCUGCUGGGGCGGAGGCGGAGGCGGCUGCCCAGCAGGCGGGGGAGGCAGGAGGUCGUCUCCCUUAGCGAUCCUGGUGAGCCAGUGGCACUUCCGGGUGGUGUGAUUCGCCGGCUUCGCGCUGCUAUGGAACUUGCAAGGUCCAUCCAGGGUCUGCUCAUAGGAGAAGGCCGGCAACCAGUUUGGCUUGCCACCGUUCUGUCGCUUGGGCGGAGGCUGCUCAUCUGGCUGCUGGGCUUCAACGGUCGUGACCUGCCGGCUGCCGGAAGCCGGCUGCGGGGCCUUGCGCUUGUGGUCGCCCUGCUGUUGUCGCCGGUUGGUGUCUGCCGCCGGAGUUCUUGGAGCUUGAGGGGCCACUUUGCCAGUUGUGCUGAUUUGAAUCUCUGCCUUCAUGGAGGAGUCGGCCGUGGCGUACUUGUCCGCUAGGAUCAGCAACUCGUCGAGGGUUUCUGGCUCGUCGCAGAGGAGCUUGUGCUUGAGGACGGUGCCUUCUAUGCACCCGACUAUGAAGUACUCGAUGGCCUGCACCUCGUGCACGCCCUCACAGGAGUUCCGAAGCUCGGCCCAACGCGUGAGGUAAUCGCGAAUCGACUCGUCGGGGCCUUGCACGCACAAGGAGAGCUAACGAGGCUUGGGAGGACGCUUGUACGUGCUGGUGAAGUUGCGGACAAAUGCUUCGGUGAAGUCGACCCAGCUGUUGAUGUUGCUGGGCUUCAGGCUGUUUAGCCAUGUCCGGGCCGUGCCCUGGAGCAUGAGCAGAACGUACUUUACGACGACACGCUUGUUGCCGUUUGCUCUGCUGACAGCCGUGGAGUAGUCGACUAGCCAGUCUUCCGGCUUCACGGAGCCGGUAUACUUGGGCGUGUCUCUCGGGAGCGUGAACCCUCUGGGAAAGGGCUCGUCCCGAAUGCGGGGCCCGAAACAAGGCGGACCCAGCUCGUCUUCUUCUUCCAGCGCUAAGGAUCGGUGAAAUCGGUCGAUCCGGUGGCGGGUGUCAUUCUCUCCAACUCCCUCUCGGCGGCCAAGGCGGUCGCCGAGAGUCGGAUGGUCAACAGGCGGUGGGGAGACUCGCCUCUCCUUGCGGGGAGGGGGAGGUGGACAGUUGUCCCGUCGUUCCACUGCUCUCGGGCAGCUGUCUCAGUCUCGCUCUAUGGUAAUGCGAGUCCGACUGUGGCUGACAGCCAGCUCCUUAUCUCUUCUUCCUCGGGCGCCGCCAGUCGGCGUCCGAGACAUUGCGCCUUGAUCUCGGUGAAGGUCAUCGUUUGGCCGCUGCGGCGCCUCCGUGCGGCAACCGGCCUCGUUCUGCGCGGCGGCUGCGUCGAGGAGCCGCUGGACUCGCUCCAUCAUGAGGUGACGUUCUUCGCCCUCGAAAUUGUCCAGCUCAUCUGCCGCUGCCUGGGCGGCUCGGAUGUUCUCCGCUGGUGUAGCGUACACAGGGCGGCUUGCCCCAAACAGGUUGGCGAUGGCUACGCCGCGCUGCUGGACCACGCCAAGGUGGUUGGGCCCCACCGAGGCCGGUGAGCCGCCAACGGCGCGAUCCAUCUCCCGCGAGCCAGCUUCUUCGCGCCUUCAACGAGCUGAAGGCGGCGCGCCUCCAACGUCUCUGCGUCAGCGUCUUCCGGAAUGGGCGCAGUUAGGUCUUGUAGCGCCACGCUGAGUGAGUCAUGCGCUCCUCCAUCGGGGAGCUCGUCAUGACUGAUGACGAGCACCUCGGUGACGGUGCUUUCGUUGCUCUCCGCGCGAGGGAGAGGUUCGUCGUAGACCACCACAUUGGUGGGGAACGCGUCGAGCGACGCGGUGUCGGAGUCGACCAGCAUCGGGUCGAUGGAGCCUACGGACUCUAAGUCUACGGCAGGCUCGCCGGAAACGUGGAGCUGGUCGAGGAGGCCCGCGAGGAGGCUCUCGGGGCCGCCCGUGCCUGCGUUGGAUGCAGGUUCAUCGGAGAGGCGAACCUUGCCGACAAGUUCGGCCAGGCAGCUGGUUGCGCAGGCGAUCUCAACGCCGCUUAGCGCGUCGGCGCAAACUCCGUCUGGCGUGUCUGGCUGGCUGCGCUCGCCAGGGAGAACAAGGGUUCCCGUCCAGAACAGGUCUCCGGACGGUGGUGCACCAGGCCCCACGGUGGGCGCCAAAUGUCGGGGGUUUGGUGCGACAUAUGCCAAAGGAUGGCUUAUCAUGGUGGGGGCGAGUAGAACGUCGUCGGUGCCUGGAAAUGGCAUGAGGCGAAGGCAUGCACGCCAGCGAAUCUUACCCAGCUUUAGGGCUCUUCGGGGAGAUAAUACCCUUACUACUGCUCUGCGGGGUCCCCGCAUGAUCACUAUGGCAAAGUGUUUACACGGUUGCUUCUUGAGCUGUUUCUUGGAGGUAGGAGAGGGCAAGGCUAGCUCUCUCCCUUCUAUAUGAUCUGGCCUAGAGCUAAUGGGUUCCAACCCUUUGCAUGGGUGCCCUGGGGGGUUUAUAUAGGCCUACCCCCCAGGGGUACAAUGGUAAUCCGGUGGGACGCGGGCCCAGCCUUCAGCGCCUCUGGCCUCCGUCUUCCCCGCCGACCGCUGGGGCCCGCCGACUGGCAGGCCCUGCCGACUGGCCUGGUACGGAGCCGACAGGCCGCGUCCGCCGCGGGCAGGUCUUGUCGGCUGCUGAUUACUGUGACAUGCUUCUAAUGACGCGGGCUUGAUCAUGGGGUCGUGGCAACAGCCCCGCCGCCUGGCGGGCGAUCACUAUUGCCACUCUCCAUCACAUCUUGAUUAAUGGUGCGUGGGCCCCGGGGGAGGGCUCGGCCGACUCCCCCGAGCCGACUCCCGAUGGGUCCGACUGGUGGUCCUCUUGCCGUCUCCGGGGGUCUCACCGACUGGUGGGACCCGCUGCCUCUGAGCCGUACAGACAAGCCGUCAUGGGUGCAGGAUUCGGUCUGGCGGUGCUGAUGUCAGGGCCAGCAUGGCAACAGUGCCACGCCGCACGGAGAUCUUCCGGGGUACGGCGUGCUGUGGCCAUGCCCGCCCUUGGUAAGGGGCGGGAGUGGGCUUCACUAUAGCCACUCUCCUGCCCCGUCCCCCUUGAUGAGGUCACGGGGUUUGUUGGAGUCACAGGCCGACUCCCCAAAGCCGGCUUCUUCGGAAGUCGCCAGUCAGGAGUCGGCUUACCCUGCGGUCGUCCCUGGGACUCGGCCGCGAGUGGUCAGUCGGCCGUCUUGCCAUUGACUUCUUGAAGGCGGCUCUUCGUCCUGGGGCCUUGAGGGGCGCAUCCUGCCCUGAUGUCUUGAAAAUUCUGUUACUCCGACAUGGGCUGAAGUCUGUGGGCCGCGUGGGCCACCUGGAGGGCACGCGUGCAAGCGGUCGAAGGCGCAUGCCGGCCCAGAUGACGCGGGGCGGUGGGACGGUACAGGGGAGACACACUUGUUUAGUCCCACCUCGCCCGCUGAAGGACGCCCCGACCGGCUUAAAUAGCAGCGUUCGUGCACCCUGCCAUAUAAGAUAGUUAGUAAUAAUUUGAUUUGACUUUACACUGUCCGGGCGGCACUGCCGUUGCUGCCUGGGCAGGUAAAAUCUCAAACGGACUUUAGACUGCGCGGGCAGCGCAGCAGUGCUGCCAGGGACAGUGUAAACUCAAAUCAUAUCAUUAGUAUCUAUCUUAUUUUUGACUGUUUGCUACUCUACUCAAGUUUGUCUCACCUCACUUAAAUUGCAUCAUUAGUACCUAUAUUAUUUUUUAACAUUUGCCACACCUCAUUUAAAUCACAUCAUUAGUACCUAUAUUAUUUUUGACCGUUUGCCACUCUACGCAAGUUUACUCAUGUCAAGUCAUGUCUGGGGAGUGUGUUUCGGUUUCAGAGCAAGUAAAAUCAUAGAAAAUUCUCGAAGGUUCGAAAUGCCCCGAAACUUGGCAUGCUUGAUUUCCAUGAGUGUACAAACGUAUGGAGAAAAAUUGGGUCCAUUUGAAGGAUGUCAGAAAAAAGCCUUCGUUGGGACGGGGCCUUCGCUCCUACCAGAACGACGUGCAUAGAGGAAGGUCAUUUUUUGGCCAUCUUCAGAAUGACCCCAAGUUUUGCGACGGGGUAGGCAUGCCCACCGUAGGACCCCACGCAAAAUUUCAUCAUGUUCCGAGCACACACUCAUGUCGUGUCACGUCCGAAGAGUGUGUUUCAGUUUCAGAGCGGGAAGAAUCGUAGAAAAUUCUUAGAGGUUUGAAAUGUCCCGAAACUUAACAUGCUUGCUUGCCAUGAGUGUACAAAUGUAUGAAAAAAAUUGUGUCCAUUUGAAGGAUGUCAAAAAAACCUCCGUCGGGACNNNNNNNNNNNNNNNNNNNNNNNNNNNNNNNNNNNNNNNNNNNNNNNNNNNNNNNNNNNNNNNNNNNNNNNNNNNNNNNNNNNNNNNNNNNNNNNNNNNNNNNNNNNNNNNNNNNNNNNNNNNNNNNNNNNNNNNNNNNNNNNNNNNNNNNNNNNNNNNNNNNNNNNNNNNNNNNNNNNNNNNNNNNNNNNNNNNNNNNNNNNNNNNNNNNNNNNNNNNNNNNNNNNNNNNNNNNNNNNNNNNNNNNNNNNNNNNNNNNNNNNNNNNNNNNNNNNNNNNNNNNNNNNNNNNNNNNNCUUGACAUGCUUGCUUGCCAUGAGUGUACAAAGGUAUGAAAAAAAUUGGGUCAAUUUGAAGGAUGUCAAAAAAAACCCUCCAUUGGGACGAUGCCUUCUCUCCUACCAGAACGGUGUGCGCAGAGGAAGGUCAUUUUUUGGCCAUCUUCAAAACGACCCCAAGUUUUGCGACAGGGUAGGCAUGCCCACCCUAACACCCCACUCAAAAUUUCAUCAUGUUCCGAACACACACUCAUGUCGCGUCAUGUCCGAGGAGUGUGUUUGGGUUUCAGAGGGGGUAAAAUCAUAGAAAAUUCUCAGAGGUUCGAAAUGCCUCGAAACUUGGCAUGCUUGCUUGCCAUGACUGUACAAAUGUAUGAAAAAAAAAUGGGUCCAUUUGAAAGAUGUCAAAAAAAAACUCUGUCGGGCGUGUACAAAAGUCUUUCCUCGUGGAUAGUCAUACCUUGCAAUACUGAUGCAGAUCAUGUUGUAUCACUCCACAACGAUUGUGGAGUGAUAGAGCAGAACCUGCAUAAGUAUAGUGAGGUAUGGCUACCAUGAUAGAAGACUUGAUGUCAUGCAGCUAUUUAAAUCCACAAUUCGUCAUCAAAACUAGCAAUGUAGGACUAAAAAUAGAGCACUCUCGGCGGUUGGCGCCCCUAGCGGCGCAUAAUUGGUGGCGCACAUACGAAGGCCCGCCCCACCAUGGCCCGUGCACACUGUGGGCCGGCCCGCGCACGCCUUUUGUGGCCAAUGUAGGCUAACUUCUUUUUUAUAAAUAAUUUUAGUACCCCAUUGAUUAUGGAGACUCAUAUGUAGUGGUUUAAAUAGUCACACAAAAUUUUAACGUCCAGUUAUUAUUGAUUUAUAUUAUAUGUAUACGGAUCCAGAUGGUGUAGGUGUUGCUCUGAUUGUUAAACUUUAUUAACAAACAAAGCAACACGUAUAUCAUCCCUUCUGGGUAAGUAUACCCGUGCUAUGAUGUAAUAAUUUUUUAUUGUUUUUAUAGUUGUGAAAUUAUGGGAUAAAAUCUGUAAUGGGUGGAUGCUUUGAGACAAUCAAGGGAUUAAAUUUUCUGUCCGGGUUGAGUGACGAUGCUCUGCCGGCACCCGCAGCCCGUCCGGGUUGAGUGUAAAGUCAAGUCAUAUAAAUUAGACAUGACAUUUGAUUAUUCUGGAGCUGCGGGUUGCUCUUCAUAUGAUUCGAGCAUUGUAUUUGUAAAUAUCAACAAAAAACACUAGAAUAAAAAAUCAUGUAGUGUGAACAGAUUUAUCUCAAAAGAGUAAUGUAAAUUUUUGCUAUGACACUCCAUUAUUUUGGAGUGCCAGAGCAUCAUUUACAAUAGCCUACUGAGGAAAGACCGCCACACUAAAGGAUUUAACAUUGUACGCAGAGGAUAGUAUUUAAAUAGGUGAAUAAGCGUGACCAGAAGCAAUAUGGGACUAAAGGAUUAGUAGGUUGAGCGGUGGCUGUCGUGGCUUUUGCUUCAUGGGCCCUCACAUGUGCGCCGCAAACGGCGCCCAAGUAGCCGCCGUGGGUUGCCUUCCUGGUCCGGCCGUGCGCACCGCGCGCGCGAGCAGUUGUAAAAAAAAUCAUUGGCAAACAAACAAAUGUAGACCGUUUUUGUGUUCUUUCAUGAAGAAUUUAGUAUAAAAUGAAUGUAAUGUCGGAACACACCCAAUUUUUACAUGCGCGUGAGUGACCCCCACUGGCCCCCACGCCAAAUUUGAACGAAAUCUGAGUAUGAACGGACGUUACGUCAUGUCCGGAGACCGUUUUUGUGUAUUUUCACGGAGAAAAUCAUAGUAAUGCAUCGAGUGUCGAAACGAACCGAAAUUUUGCAUGUGUGUUUGUGUUGCACACUGUAGCAUGUGAAAAAAAAUGGUGUCGUUUCAUGACUUUACGAAAGGGAACACCUUGCAGAUGCCCGUCCCCCCUAACCGAUACCUCAGGUUUCUACUUCAACUACAUAUGGACAUGGACGAAACACACCCAACUUUUGCAUGCGCGUGUGACUGACCACCACCUUCCCCCACGCCAAAUUUCGAUGGAAUCGGAGUACGAACAGACGCUGCGUCCUGUCCGGAAACCCUUUUUGUGUAUUUUCACGGAGAAAAUCAUAGUAAAUGCAUCAAGUGUUGAAAACGGACAGAAAUUUUGUAUAUGUGUCUGUGUUGCACACUGUAGCAUGUGGAAAAAAAUGAUGAUGUUUCAUGACUUUGCGAAAGAGAACACCUCGCGUGCGCCCGUCCCCCUAACCGAUACCUCAGGUUUCUACUGCAACUACAUGCGGACAUGAAUGUACCACACCCAACUUUUGCAUGCGCGUGUGAAUGACCCCCACCGACCCCACGCCAAAUUUCAAUGGAAUCGGAGUACGAAUGAACGUUGUGUCAUGUCCGGAGACCGUUUUGUGUAUUUUCACGGAGAAAACUAUAGUAAAUGCACCGAGUGUCGAAACGCAUCGAAAAUUUGCAUGUGUUUUUGUGUUGCACACUGUAGCAUGUAAAAAAUGACGUCGUUUCAUGACUUUGCGAAAGAGAACACCUCGCGGGUGCCCGUCCCCUCUAACCAAUACCUCAUGUUUCUACUGCAACUACAUGUUGACAUGGACAUACCGCACCCAACUUUUGCAUGCACGUGUGAGUGACCCCCACCUUCCCACACGCUAAAUUUCAACGGAAUCGGAAUACGAACGGACGUUGCGUCACGUCCGGAGACCAUUUUGUGUAUUUUCAUGAAGAAAAUCAUAAUAAAUGCAUCGAGUAUCGAAACACACCGAAAUUUUGCAUUUGUGUNNNNNNNNNNNNNNNNNNNNNNNNNNNNNNNNNNNNNNNNNNNNNNNNNNNNNNNNNNNNNNNNNNNNNNNNNNNNNNNNNNNNNNNNNNNNNNNNNNNNNNNNNNNNNNNNNNNNNNNNNNNNNNNNNNNNNNNNAGCAUGUGAAAAAAUGAUGCCGUUUCAUGACUUUGCGAAAGAAAACACCUCACGGGUGCCCGUCCCCCAUAACCGAUACCUCGGGUUUCUACUGCAACUACAUGUGGACAUCGACGUACCGCACUCAACUUUUGCAUGCGCGUGUGAGUGACCCCCACCGGCCCCAUGCCAAAUUUCAAUGGAAUCGGAGUAUGAACGGACGUUGUGUCACAUCCGGAGACUAUUUUUGUGUAUUUAGAAAAUCAUUGUAAAUGCAUCGAGUGUCGAAACGCACCGAAAUUUUGCAUGCGUGUUUGUGUUGCACACUGUAGCAUGUGAAAUAAGUGAUGUUGUUUCAUGAAAAUAUAAAAAAUGAACAAAAAGAACAUAAAUAUGAAAAAUCACGUAGUGUGGACGGAUUUACCUCAGAAGAUUAAUGACUUUUUUUGCUGUGACACUCCAUGAUUUUGGAGUGCCAGAGCAUAAUUUCCAAUAGCCUAGUGAGGUAAGGCCACCACACUAAAGGAUUCAACAUUGUAUGUAGAGGACGGUAUUUAAACAUGUGAAUAAGCGUGAUCAGAAGCAAUGUGGGACUAAACAAUUAGCAGGUUGGGCGGUGGCCGACGUGGCAUCACUAGGUUGGGCGGGAUUGGGCCGGGCCCAGUAGGUGCCCAAAACAGUUUUGUUUUCCAUCGCCGUAUACCGCCACGCACGGCGAAACCUUACCCCCACUCGCCUCGUACGCCACACCGUGCCCUUCGUCGCCCUAUCCCCACUCGCCCCCAUGUACGCCCAUCGUCGUUCAUCGCCUCACAGUGCCGCAAAAAAGCGGCGCGUCCGACUACCGUCAACACCGCACGUUGCUGCAGUUGGUGUCAGGACGCCCAAUAGUCGUCGGCACAUCUCGCCCACAUACGGCUGCCUACUUUCCCUCUGCCGCAGCCACUGCUCGGCGGUUGUCGUCCGGAUCAAGGUGACAUUUUCCCGCCCCGUACAUUUUCUGCUAGUGGUAUUGCGUAGUUAUAUAUAUUAAUGGGGAAAUAAUUUGACAUGCAGUAUCGACAUCGAUGGUGUGAUUCCAUGUUCCAUAGAGAAGUGGAUAAGUCUCGUUGAGAAAUUAACAAGUGCUCAACAAUUUAGGUUCUACGAAACAACCUUGCAAGAGAUGUUAAUCAUUCCAUCAGUACAAAUGAGAGAUUUUUUGCUGCAUUUUAUGAUUCUAGGUUAUAACCCAAACAGCAAAAAAUUCAUGAUACAAGAAGAAACCGGCAGUAAAGGUCUUAUUUCACUUAGAUCGGACGACGUGUUUUCAAUAUUUGGGUUUAAGAAUGAAGGUGAGGAUGUUUUUGGAAUUCUUGCGAUGGAAGGAAAAGAGUUAAUAAAGAAAAUUCUUAUUCAGUACGUUCAAAAAAAUGGUCAGAUAAUGAUAGAUGACUUGAUCCAAAAAAUUGCAAGGAAUAAAUCCACCGACGAUGAGUUUCUUCAGAUGGUUGUUCUUGUUUUGUUGGGGACUAUUAUUACACCGAUGUCGGCUGUUUCCAUAUCAAAGGAGUACUAUGCGUUGGUGCAUGAUGUGAAGCGGAUCAACACGUUGAACUUUAAUGCGUUCACUUUGCAAACUUGUUUGACGGAGAUGGGUAAACUUAAGCAGGACGACCGUGUGAGGCAAUGGCCAUGUGGCAACCUAGCCCUAAUCCAGGUAUGGUAUUAAUUAAUGCUAUUUAAUAUUCCUUCAUGUUAUGCGUUUGUAAUUUAUUUUGUCAUUUGUUUUGUAGUACUACCUCCAUUUCAGUUUACAAGUUCUGCGCGUAUACCUAGGUUGCCAAUUUUAUCAUCCUAAUAUAAACUAUAUAACACAAAAAAUAUAUCUUUUGAAAGUAGAAACUCCGAAGUUUAUGUUGAUAUAUUUUUUAUAAUGUAUGACUUGUAUUAGGUUGGUCAAAUUGACGAUCUAGGGAUACGCGCACGCCCUGUAAACUGAGAGAGAGGUAGUACUUAUAUUGGGAGAAGGUCCAGCCAACCACCGGCCCGAAAUAUGACCCGUUGUCGUUGCAAAGUCCCCUAAUUUAAAACUGGACAUAAUCUAAAGUGGAGAAACAAGACAAGUGCGACCCGGACGAUGGUCGUGGUCAUGGAUCGGUAAUAUUGUAAUGUUUAUUUAACUAUACGUUGAUGAUCCAUUCAAAUUGUUAUGUACUUAUUUUUUCAUUACAUACUGACUUUGCAGAUAGAUGACUGCAUUACGAACGAGUAUAGAAUGAAAAACUUGCAGAGCAACAUGCUGAAAGCAGUAAGAAACCUAGUAAUCGAAAGUCAGGAAAGAGAAAAGUGGAUAGUGUGUCCGAGGUCCCUGCUAACCUAAAGCCUUUUAUGGACCGGUUUAUGAAUGAUAUGAAGGAAAUUCGUAAGGAAUUGGUUCAUAUGCCGGAGUUAUGUGCACAGGUAACAAUUGGGCAAUUAUGGUAUGCACUCUAUUAAAUUCGUUAAAUUGACGAAAAAUUAUAACAUCUUACUGUGCUUACCUUUACAGAGAUUGUUAGAGAAAAUAAAUAAAAUAGGUGUGCGGUACAAACUAGGCACAAUGGCAGAGGAGGAAGAAAAUCUGUUUGGACAGAAUAGUGAGUCCAGGUAUGAAAACAAGUAUCCUAAUAAAGAAUUUCAGUACGAUGACAUACACACACCUAAUGGCUCAAAUGGCAGUGGGAAUUAUGAUUUGGAUUCGAAAGGAGGGGAUUCAUUCAAACUCAGUACUGCUCACUUGAGUAGCUAUAAGGGUGAGAAGAAUAAUCCUAGAGAUGUCCCAAAGUAGUCGGAAAAAAGAGAAGCAUCAUCUUUAAAAACAAAUGAAAUAUAAUCAACGAGAUGGGAAGUGGAACCAAAUGAGCAAGAAGUGUCACAGUGUGACACCCCGAUAGUUAAGCUACAGUAAACCCUUGCUAAUGAUGCCAUGUCACUGCUGUCACUAUAGUUAAUCUCACGUUAGUUCAAAAUUGAGUCAAAAUUCAAAUUUAAAAUAAGGUCAAACGGUAGAAGUUUUCAAACCUUAAAACUAAAAUGUUUUGGAGGUGGAAAAUAAUGUAUAGGUAAUUACGUUGUAGAAUCCACAUUUUUAUAAAAUAUCUAAAUGCACUAAAAUGAUUUAAACAGUAGCAAAAACAUUAUUUAAAUGCCUUUGGUAUUUAAAAAAAUACUAAAAUAUUUUAUUUUGGGUUAAAAACCUUUUGUGGUAGUGGGUUAUUCUGGAACGUUAUUUUAGGAGCUAUUGUCAUUUUUUUACUAAAUGUGGAUCUAAAAAUAAAACAGAAAAGAACAAAAAAACAAAGGGAAUAAAAAAAGAAGAACAAAAAAAGAACACCCCUGGCCCAACUGGGCCUUGGCCCGGCCGACCAACCCAACUGGCCAACCCAACCGGCCCAACCCCCCGCACUCUCCAUACCCCCACGUCCCCCGAACCCUAAUCCCCGUCGCCCCACUCCCUCGUCUCUCCCUUCCCCGCUGAUCCAGAUCGGAACGGGCCGACCUCGCCGCCGUUGCCCGAAGCCNNNNNNNNNNNNNNNNNNNNNNNNNNNNNNNNNNNNNNNNNNNNNNNNNNNNNNNNNNNNNNNNNNNNNNNNNNNNNNNNNNNNNNNNNNNNNNNNNNNNNNNNNNNNNNNNNNNNNNNNNNNNNNNNNNNNNNNNNNNNNNNNNNNNNNNNNNNNNNNNNNNNNNNNNNNNNNNNNNNNNNNNNNNNNNNNNNNNNNNNNNNNNNNNNNNNNNNNNNNNNNNNNNNNNNNNNNNNNNNNNNNNNNNNNNNNNNNNNNNNNNNNNNNNNNNNNNNNNNNNNNNNNNNNNNNNNNNNNNNNNNNNNNNNNNNNNNNNNNNNNNNNNNNNNNNNNNNNNNNNNNNNNNNNNNNNNNNNNNNNNNNNNNNNNNNNNNNNNNNNNNNNNNNNNNNNNNNNNNNNNNNNNNNNNNNNNNNNNNNNNNNNNNNNNNNNNNNNNNNNNNNNNNNNNNNNNNNNNNNNNNNNNNNNNNNNNNNNNNNNNNNNNNNNNNNNNNNNNNNNNNNNNNNNNNNCCCCUCUCCCCCGACCAUGCCGUUCGAUGCCCCGCCGCCGUCGCCGUCACGCGUCCUCCCCGCCGCCUCGCCGUCCCCGUCCUCCUCCCCGGGCUGUCGUCCUCGAGCCUCGUCGCCCCGUUCCCCUGCGCUGCAAGUGAGGCCCGACCUCCUCUCCCCCUCAUCCUCGUCCGCCCCUGUGCGUCGCCGCAGCCGUGCCCGUUGUCGUUGCUGCUCACCUCCGCGCCGGCCACACCCCGCAUCCCCUGCACGCCUCGUCGCCGCGCGCACGCGCCCCGGCCACGGCCUUGGUCGCCCGCCGUGGCCAGCUCCGGCUGUCGCGCGCUGGCCUCGCCCCACUCCGGCCCCUCCUGCUCCUCGCGUCAUUACGUGUCGCCCGCCUGCAGAAGCCUGUUGUCGGCCACUACUCCCUAUGCUCGAUUCCAUCGAGCUACUGGUUCCGGUCGCCGUUGCCGUCGAUGCUCGGGUCAACUCCGGGCACUCCAGCAUCUCCUGUUUGCACCAAACGACUCGCGGCGCUGCCCUCGCUCGAACGCACCACUCCGCCGCCCAUUUUGGUCACCGGAGACCCAAACCCGAGCCCCUUAGCCAUUUUGGCAGUCGUCACCAGCGCGCCACCGCGCUGGAACGCAGGUGGUCAUCGCCAGGUGGACCCCGCGCGUCAGGACCGUCGUUAAUGACUAAUGCGCCCGCUAAUGAACUAGUGACCUCUGGGUCCCACCUCGCCAGUUAAUUAAAAUGGACUAAGCUGUGUUAACUAAAAUGUGUCGCUGACAUCUUGGACCCACCGUUAAAAACAGCCCCCUAAUUAAAACGCGAGACACUGACAAGCAGGUCCCAUGUGUACUGUUGACUAGUUUGACCAGUUAAUUUGCUGACUGGUCUGAUGCAGUGAAUGACAUGUGGGCCCCAUUGACCCCGUUGACCAGUCAACCUUGACUGGUCAACUUCUGACCGUACAUGCUGACUCAGCCCCUGGACCCCACUGGUCAUACACAUAGACUAGCGAAUACCCUAGUAACAAAAGUAUUAGGGAUUAAAAUUCUAAUUGAAUAAUUCCAGAAAUUUAGAAAAUGAUUUAAAACUUUGAAAAUUAAUAGACAAAAAAACCAUACCUCGGAUGAAAAUACUUUGUACAUAAAAGUUCAUUAGAAAAAUGAGACGAAUCCCGAUACGCAGCCUGUUCGUCCGCCACACAUCCCUAGCAUAGCUAACAUGCAACUUUCCUCCUCCGGUUCGUUUGUCGAAAAUGCGAAGCACCGGAGAUACUUUCCCGGUUGUCCCCCCCCCUCGCCGGUAUCACCUCCUACUGCAUUAGGGCACACCUAGCACCAUUACUUGUCAUGUCAUGCAUCGAUAUGCAUCUGUUUGCAUCGUAUUCAUUGUUUCUUCCCCCUAUUCUCUCCGGUAGACUACGAGACUGACGCCACUGCUGGUGCCCCGGUCGACUACGUUGUUGAUGACCCCUACUUGCCAGAGCAACCAGGCAAGCCCCCUCCCCCUUGAUCAACCCGAUAUCGCCUAUUCUUCUCUCUACUGCUUGCUGAUACGUCUCCAACGUAUCUAUAAUUUUUGAUUGUUCCAUGCUAUAUUAUAUUCUGUUUUGGACAUUAUUGUGCUUUAUUAUACACUUUUACAUUAUUUUUGGGACUAACGUACUAACCGGAGGCCCAGUCCAGAAUUGUUGUAUUUUUGCCUAUUUUAGCGUUUCGAAGAAAAGGAAUAUUAAACGGAGUCCAAACGGAAUGAAACCUUCGGGAACGUGAUUUUUGGAACGAACAAGGUCCAGGAGACUUGGACCCUACGUCAAGCAACCAACAGGGAAGCCACGAGGUAGGGGGGAGCGCCUACCCCCCCCCCCCGGCGCGCCCUCCACCCUCGUGGGCCCCCUGUUGCUCCACCGACAUACUUCUUCCUCCUAUAUAUACCUACGUACCCCCAAACGAUAAGAUACGGAGCCAAAACCCUAAUUCCACCACCGUAACUUUCUGUAUCCACGAGAUCCCAUCUUGGGGCCUGUUCCGGAGCUCCGCCGGAGGGGGCAUCGAUCACGGCGGGCUUCUACAUCAACACCAUAGCCCUUCCGAUGAAGUGUGAGUAGUUUGCCUCAGACCUUCAGGUCCAUAGUUAUUAGCUAGAUGGCUUCUUCUCUCUUUUUGGAUCUCAAUACAAAGUUCUCCCCCUCUCUUGUGGAGAUCUAUUCGAUGUAAUCUUUUUUUGCGGUGUGUUUGUUGAGACCGAUGAAUUGUGGGUUUAUGAUCAAGUUUAUCUAUGAACAAUAUUUGAAUCUUCUCUGAAUUCUUUUAUGUAUGAUUGGUUAUCUUUGCAAGUCUCUUCGAAUUAUCAGUUUGGUUUGGCCUACUAGAUUGAUCUUUCUUGCAAUGGGAGAAGUGCUUAGCUUUGGGUUCAAUCUUGCGGUGUCCUUCCCCAGUGAUAGUAGGGGCAACAAGGCACGUAUUGUAUUGUUGCCAUCGAGGAUAACAAGAUGGGGUUUUCAUCAUAUUGCAUGAGUUUAUCCCUCUACAUCAUGUCAUCUUGCUUAAAGCGUUACUCUGUUCUUAUGAACUUAAUACUCUAGAUGCAUGCUGGAUAGCGGUCGAUGUGUGGAGUAAUAGUAGUAAAUGCAGGCAGGAGUCGGUCUACUUGUCUUGGACGUGAUGCCUAUAUACAUGAUCAUACCUAGAUAUUCUCAUAACUAUGCUCAAUUAUGUCAAUUGCUCAAUAGUAAUUUGUUCACCCACCGUAAAAUACCUAUGCUCUUGAGAGAAGCCACUAGUGAAACCUAUGGCCCCCAGGUCUAUCUUCAUCAUAUUAAUCUUCCAACACUUAGUUAUUUUCAUUGCUUUUAUUAAUCUUCCAAAAAUAUUAUCUUAUCAUAUCUAUCAGAUCUCACUCUCGUAAGUGUCCGUGUAGGGAUUGACAACCCCUUAUCGCGUUGGUUGCGAGGAUUUAUUUGUUUUGUGUAGGUGCGAGGGACUGGCGCGUAGCCUCCUACUGGAUUGAUACAUUGGUUCUCAAAAACCAAGGGAAAUACUUACGCUACUUUGCCGCAUCACCCUUUCCUCUUACGGGGGCAAACCAGUGCUCAAGAGGUAGCACUUGCAUUAGAGUAGUGUAGCAUGUUACUGCUUUUGGUUAAUCCUAUUCUAUUGCAUAGCCUGUCAUUGUUGCUACAGUUGUUGAUACCUUACCUGCAAUGCUAAAUGCUUAGUAUAGUUUGCUAGUUCAUCAUCAGUGACCCUACGUUCUUGUCCGUCUGCCAUGCUAUACUAUCGGGUCGUGAUCACUAGGGAGGUGAUCACGGGUUUAUACUAUAUAUCUUAUACUUGAUAGAUCUGAUGACUAAAGAUGGGUCGGCUCGUAGAGUACCCGCGAGUGAUUCAUGGAUUGGGGGCUGAAAGGACCUUUGUCCCGACGACCCUCUGGGUGGAUCUUUGUGGUGGAGCGACAGGGCAGGUUGAGACCACCUAGGAGAGAGGUGGGCCUGGCCCUGGUCGGCGUUCGCGGUUACUUCUAAAUAACACGCUUACCGAGAUCUUGGUAUUUGAUCUGAGUCUGGCCACUAGACUAUACGCACUAACCAACUACGCGGGAACAGUUAUGGGCACUCGACGUCGUGGUAUCAGCCGAAGCCUUCUUGACGUCAGCGACUGAGCGACGCGCGCCGGGUUGGACCGCGUAACACAACUUCCUUUGUAAUGGAGAUUGCUAGGUCUGCUCACCGGCUGCGUACUAAUAACCCACAGGUAUAGGGGAUCAAUUGUAGCCUCUUUCGAUAAGUAAGAGUGUCGAACCCAACGAGGAGCUAAAGGUAGAACAAAUAUUCCCUCAAGUUCUAUCGACCACCGAUACAACUCUACGCACGCUUAACGUUCGCUUUACCUAGAACAAGUAUGAAACUAGAAGUACUUUGUAGGUGUUUUUGGAUAGGUUUGAAAGAUAAUAAAGAGCGCGUAAAUAAAAAGUAGGGGCUGUUUAGAUAAAGAAACAAUAAAAUUAGUAUAGCAAGUGUGGAAAAGUGGUGGUAGGAGUCGUGAGUAUAGCCUCUCCGAUGAAGUGUGAGUAGUUUACCUCAGACCUUCGGGUCCAUAGUUAGUAGCUAGAUGGCUUCUUCUCUCUUUUUGGAUCUCAAUACAAAGUUCUCCACCUCUCUUGUGGAGAUCUAUUCGAUGUAAUCUUCUUUUUGCGGUGUGUUUGUUGAGACCGAUGAAUUGUGGGUUUAUGUUCAAGUCUAUCUAUGAAUAAUAUUUGAAUCUUCUCUGAAUUGUUUUAUGUAUGAUUGGUUAUCUUUGCAAGUCUCUUCGAAUUAUCCAUUUGGUUUGGCCAACUAGAUUGGUAGUUCUUGCCAUGGGAGAAGUGCUUAGCUUUGGGUUCAAUCUUGCGGUGUCCUUUCCCAGUGACAGAAGGGGCAGCAAGGCACGUAUUGCAUCAUUUCCAUCGAGGAUAACAAGAUGGGGUUUAUUUCAUAUUGCAAGAAUUUAUCUCUCCACAUCAUGUCAUCUUGCUUAAGGCGUUACUCUGUUUUUAACUUAAUACUCUAGAUGCAUGCUGGAUAGCGGUCGAUGAGUGGAGUAAUAGUAGUAGAUGCAGAAUCGUUUCGGUCUACUUGUCACGGACGUGAUGCCUAUAUACAUGAUCAUGCCUAGAUAUUCUCAUAACUAUGCUCAAUUCUAUCAGUUGCUCAACAGUAAUUUGUUCACCCACCGUAGAAUACUUAUGCUCUUGAGAGAAGCCACUAGUGAAACCUAUGGCCCCUGGGUCUAUUCUCAUCAUAUCAAUCUCCAUCACUUUAAUCUUGCUUUGCUUUUUUACUUUGCUUUUACUUUUCACUUUGCAUCUCUAUACCAAAAAUACCAAAAAUAUUAUAUCUAUCAGAUCUCACUCUCGUAAGUGACCGUGAAGGGAUUGACAACCCCUAAUCGUGUUGGUUGCGAGUAGCUAUCGUUUUGUGCAGGUACUGAAGGAAAUAUGCCCUAGAGGCAAUAAUAAAGUUAUUAUUUAUUUCCUUAUAUCAUGAUAAAUGUUUAUUAUUCAUGCUAGAAUUGUAUUAACCAGAAACAUAAUACAUGUGUGAAUACAUAGACAAACAGAGUGUCACUAGUAUGCCUCUACUUGACUAGCUCGUUAAUCAAAGAUGGUUAUGUUUCCUAACCAUGAACAAGGAGUUGUUAUUUGAUUAACGAGAUCACAUCAUUAGGUGAAUGAUCUGAUUGACAUGACCCAUUGCAUUAGCUUAGCACCCGAUCGUUUAGUAUGUUGCUAUUGCUUUCUUCAUGACUUAUACAUGUUCCUAUGACUAUGAGAUUAUGCAACUCCCGUUUGCCGGAGGAACACUUUGUGUGCUACCAAACGUCACAACGUAACUGAGUGAUUAUAAAGGAGCUCUACAGGUGUCUCCAAAGGUACAUGUUGGGUUUGCGUAUUUCGAGAUUAGGAUUUGUCACUCCGAUUGUCGGAGAGGUAUCUCUGGGCCCUCUCGGUAAUGCACAUCACAUAAGCCUUGCAAGCAUUGCAACUAAUGAGUUAGUUGUGAGAUGAUGUAUUACGGAACGAGUAAAGAGACUUGCCGGUAAUGAUAUUGAACUAGGUAUUAAGAUACCGAUGAUCGAAUCUCGGGCAAGUAACAUACCGAUGACAAAGGGAACAACGUAUGUUGUUAUGCGGUCUGACCGAUAAAGAUCUUCGUAGAAUAUGUAGGAGCCAAUUGAGCAUCCAGGUUCCGCUAUUGGUUAUUGACCGGAGACGUGUCUCGGUCAUGUCUACAUUGUUCUCGAACCCGUAGGGUCCGCACGCUUAAGGUUUCGAUGACAGUUAUAUUAUGAGUUUAUGAGUUUUGAUGUACCGAAGUUAGUUCGGAGUCCCGGAUGUGAUCACGGACAUGACGAGGAGUCUCGAAAUGGUCGAUACAUAAAGAUUGAUAUAUUGGACGGCUAUAUUCGGACACUGGAAGUGUUCCGGGUGAUUUCGGAGAAAAUCGGAGAGCCGGAGGGUUACCGGAACCCCCCCCCCGGGAGAAGUAAUGGGCCAUAUGGGCCUUAGUGGAGGGAGAGAGGGGCAGCCAGAGGUGGGCCGCGCGCCUCCUCCCCCCUGGUCCGAAUUGGACUAGGAGAGGGGGUGGCGCCCCCCCCUUUCCCUCUCCCUCCCCACUUAUUUCCCCCUCCUAGUAGGAUUCCUACUCCUACUAGGAGGAGGACUCCUCCUGGCGCGCCUAUAGGGGCCGGCCUCCUCCCCUUGCUUCUUUAUAUAUGGGGGCAGGGGGCACCCCUAGACACACAAGUUGAUCCACGUGAUCAUAUUCUUAGCCGUGUGCGGUGCCCCCCUCCACCAUAUUCCACCUCGGUCAUAUUGUAGCGGUGCUUAGGCGAAGCCCUGCGAUGGUAGUACAUCAAGAUCGACACCACGCCGUCGUGCUGACAGAACUCUUCCCCGACACUUUGCUGGAUCGGAGUUCGGGGAUCGUCAUCGAGCUGAACGUGUGCUAGAACUCGGAGGUGCCGUAGUUUCGGUGCUUGAUCAGUCGGGCCGUGGAGACGUACGACUACAUCAACCAAAUGCUUCCGUUGUCGAUCUACAAGGGUACGUAGAUCAUACUCUCCCCUCUCGUUGCUAUGCAUCACCAUGAUCUUGCGUGUGCGUAGGAAUUUUUUUGAAAUUACUACGUUCCCCUACAGUGGCAUCCGAGCCUAGGUUUUACAUGUUGAUGUUAUUUGCACGAGUAGAACACAAGUGAGUUUUGGGCGAUAUAAGUCAUACUACUUACCAGCAUGUCAUACUUUGGUUCGGUGGUAUUGUUGGACGAAGCGGCCCGGACCGACAUUACACGUACGCUUACGCGAGACCGGUUCUCCCGACGUGCUUUGCACAUAGGUGGCUUGCGGGUGACAGUUUCUCCAACUUUAGUUGAACCGAGUGUGGCUACGCCCGGUCCUUGCGAAGGUUAAAACAGCACCAACUUGACAAACUAUCGUUGUGGUUUUGAUGCGUAGGUAAGAUUGGUUCUUGCUUAAGCCCGUAGCAGCCACGUAAAACUUGCAACAACAAAGUAGAGGACGUCUAACUUGUUUUUGCAGGGCAUGUUGUGAUGUGAUAUGGUCAAGACAUGAUGCUAAAUUUUAUUGUAUGAGAUGAUCAUGUUUUGUAACCGAGUUAUCGGCAACUGGCAGGAGCCAUAUGGUUGUCGCUUUAUUGUAUGCAAUGCAAUCGCGCUGUAAUGCUUUACUUUAUCACUAAGCGGUAGCGAUAGUCGUGGAAGCAUAAGCUUGGCGUGACGACAACGACGCUAAGAUGGAGAUCAAGGUGUCGCGCCGGUGACGAUGGUGAUCACGACGGUGCUUCGAUGGAGAUCACAAGCACAAGAUGAUGAUGGCCAUAUCAUAUCACUUAUAUUGAUUGCAUGUGAUGUUUAUCUUUUAUGCAUCUUAUCUUUCUUUGAUUGACGGUAGCAUUAUAAGAUGAUCUCUCACUAAUUAUCAAGAAGUGUUCUCCCUGAGUAUGCACCGUUGCGGAAGUUCUUCAUGAUGAGACACCACGUGAUGAUCGGGUGUGAUAGGCUCUACGCUCAAAUACAACGGGUGCAAAACAGUUGCACACGCGGAAUACUCAGGUUAUACUUGACGAGCCAAGCAUAUACAGAUAUGGCCUCGGAACACGGAGACCGAAAGGUCGAGCGUGAAUCAUAUAGUAGAUAUGAUCAACAUAAUGAUGUUCACCAAUGAAACUGCUCCAUCUCACGUGAUGAUCGGACAUGGUUUAGUUGAUUUGGAUCACGUAAUCACUUAGAGGAUUAGAGGGAUGUCUAUCUAAGUGGCAGUUCUUUAAGUAAAUUAAUUGAACCUAAAUUUAUCAUGAAACUUAGUACCUGAUAGUAUCUUGCUUGUUUAUGCUUGAUUGUAGAUAGAUGGCUCGUGCUGUUGUUCCGUUGAAUUUUAAUGCGUUCCUUGAGAAAGCAAAGUUGAAAGAUGAUGGUAGCAAUUACACGGACUGGGUCCGUAACUUGAGGAUUAUCCUCAUUGCUACACAGAAGAAUUACAUCCUGGAAGCACCGCUGGGUGCCAGGCCUACUGCUGGAGCAACACCAGAUGUUAUGAACGUCUGGCAGAGCAAAGCUGAUGACUACUCGAUAGUUCAGUGUGCCAUGCUUUACGGCUUAGAAUCGGGACUUCAACGAUGUUUUGAACGUCAUGGAGCAUAUGAGAUGUUCCAGGAGUUGAAGUUAAUAUUUCAAGCAAAUGCCCGGAUUGAGAGAUAUCAAGUCUCCAAUAAGUUCUAUAGCUGCAAGAUGGAGGAGAACAGUUCUGUCAGUGAGCAUAUACUCAAAAUGUCUGGGUAUAAUAAUCACUUGAUUCAAUUGGGAGUUAAUCUUCCAGAUGAUUGCGUCAUUGACAGAAUUCUCCAAUCACUGCCACCAAGCUACAAGAGCUUCGUGAUGAACUAUAAUAUGCAAGGGAUGAAUAAGACUAUUCCCGAGCUCUUCGCAAUGCUGAAAGCUGCGGAGGUAGAAAUCAAGAAGGAGCAUCAAGUGUUGAUGGUCAACAAGACCACUAGUUUCAAGAAAAAGGGCAAAGGGAAGAAGAAGGGGAACUUCAAAAGGAACGGCAAGCAAGUUGCUAUUCAAGAGAAGAAACCCAAACCUGGACCUAAGCCUGAAACUGAGUGCUUCUACUGCAAGCAGACUGGUCACUGGAAGCGGAACUGCCCCAAGUAUUUGGCGGAUAAGAAGGAUGGCAAGGUGAACAAAGGUAUAUGUGAUAUACAUGUUAUUGAUGUGUACCUUACUAAUGCUCGCAGUAGCACAUGGGUAUUUGAUACUGGUUUUGUUGCUGAUAUUUGCAACUCGAAACAGGGACUACGGGUUAAGCGAAGAUUAGCUAAGGACGAGGUGACGAUGCGCGUGGGAAACGGUUCCAAAGUCGAUGUGAUCGCAGUCGGCACGCUACCUCUACAUCUACCUUUGGGAUUAAUAUUAGACCUAAAUAAUUGUUAUUUGGUGCCAGCGUUAAGCAUGAACAUUAUAUCUGGAUCUUGUUUGAUGCGAGACAGUUAUUCAUUUAAAUCUGAGAAUAAUGGUUGUUCUAUUUAUAUGAGUAAUAUCUUUUAUGGUCAUGCACCCUUAAAGAGUGGUCUAUUUUUGAUGAAUCUCGAUAGUAGUGACACACAUAUUCAUAGUGUUGAAGCCAAAAGAUGCAGAGUUAAUAAUGAUAGUGCAACUUAUUUGUGGCACUGCCGUUUAGGUCAUAUCGGUGUAAAGCGCAUGAAGAAACUCCAUACUGAUGGACUUUUGGAACCACUUGAUUAUGAAUCACUUGGUACUUGCGAACCGUGCCUCAUGGGCAAGAUGACUAAAACACCGUUCUCCGGUACUAUGGAGAGAGCAACAGAUUUAUUGGAAAUCAUACAUACAAAUGUAUGUGGUCCGAUGAAUAUUGAGGCUCGUGGCGGAUAUCGUUAUUUUCUCACCUUCACAGAUGACUUAAGCAGAUAUGGGUAUAUCUACUUAAUGAAACAUAAGUCUGAAACAUUUGAAAAGUUCAAAGAAUUUCAGAGUGAAGUUGAAAAUCAUCGUAACAAGGAAAUAAAGUUUCUACGAUCUGAUCGUGGAGGAGAAUAUUUGAGUUAUGAGUUUGGUGUACAUUUGAAAAUUUGUGGAAUAGUUUCGCAACUCACGCCACCCGGAACACCACAGCGUAAUGGUGUGUCCGAACGUCGUAAUCGUACUUUACUAGAUAUGGUGCGAUCUAUGAUGUCUCUUACUGAUUUACCGCUAUCGUUUUGGGGACACGCUCUAGAGAUGGCCGCAUUCAUGUUAAAUAGGGCACCAUCAAAAUCCGUUGAGACGACGCCUUAUGAACUAUGGUUUGGCAAGAAACCAAAGUUGUCGUUUCUGAAAGUUUGGGGCUGCGAUGCUUAUGUGAAAAAGCUUCAACCUGAUACGCUCGAACCCAAAUCGGAGAAAUGUGUCUUCAUAGGAUAUCCAAAGGAGACUAUUGGAUACACCUUCUAUCACAGAUCCGAAGGCAAGACUUUUGUUGCUAAGUUCGAAAACUUCCUGGAGAAGGAGUUUCUCUCAAAAGAAGUGAGUGGGAGGAAAGUAGAACUUGACGAGGUAACUGUACCUUCUCCCUUAUUGGAAAGUAGUGCAUCACAGAAAAUUGUUUCAGUGACACCUACACCAGUUAGUGAGGAAGCUAAUGAUGAUGACCAUGAAACUUUAGAACAAGAUACUACUGAACCUCGUAGAUCAACCAGAGUGAGAUCCGCGCCAGAGUGGUACGGUAAUACUGUUCUGGAAGUCAUGCUACUAGAUCAUGAUGAACCUACGAACUAUGAAGAAGCGAUGGUGAGCCCAGAUUCCGCAAAAUGGCUUGAAGCCAUGAAAUCUGAGAUGGGAUCCAUGUAUGAGAACAAAGUAUGGACUUUGGUUGACUUGCCCGAUGAUCGGCAAGCAAUUGAGAAUAAAUGCAUCUUCAAGAAGAAGACUGACGCUGACGGUAACAUUACUGUCUACAAAGCUCGACUUGUCGCAAAAGGUUUUCGGCAAGUUCAAGGGAUUGACUACGAUGAGACCUUCUCACCCGUAGCGAUGCUUAAGUCUGUCCGAAUCAUGUUAGCAAUUGCCGCAUUUUAUGAUUAUGAAAUUUGGCAGAUGGAUGUCAAAACUGCAUUCCUGAAUGGAUUUCUGGAAGAAGAGUUGUAUAUGAUGCAACCAGAAGGUUUUGUCGAUCCAAAGGGAGCUAACAAAGUGUGCAAGCUCCAGCGAUCCAUUUAUGGACUGGUGCAAGCCUCUCGGAGUUGGAAUAACCGCUUUGAUAGUGUGAUCAAAGCAUUUGGUUUUAUACAGACUUUUGGAGAAGCCUGUAUUUACAAGAAAGUGAGUGGGAGCUCUGUAGCAUUUCUAAUAUUAUAUGUGGAUGACAUAUUACUAAUUGGAAAUGAUAUAGAAUUUCUGGAUAGCAUAAAGGGAUACUUGAAUAAGAGUUUUUCAAUGAAAGACCUCGGUGAAGCUGCUUACAUAUUAGACAUUAAGAUCUAUAGAGAUAGAUCAAGACGCUUAAUUGGACUUUCACAAAGCACAUACCUUGACAAAGUUUUGAAGAAGUUCAAAAUGGAUCAAGCAAGGAAAGGGUUCUUGCCUGUGUUACAAGGUGUGAAGUUGAGUAAGACUCAAUGCCCGACCACCGCAGAAGAUAGAGAGAAUAUGAAAGAUGUUCCCUAUGCUUCAGCCAUAGGCUCUAUCAUGUAUGCAAUGCUGUGUACCAGACCUGAUGUGCGCCUUGCUAUAAGUCUAGCAGGGAGGUACCAAAGUAAUCCAGGAGUGGAUCACUGGACAGCGGUCAAGAACAUCCUGAAAUACCUAAAAAGGACUAAGGAUAUGUUUCUCACAUAUGGAGGUGACAAAGAGCUCAUUGUAAAAGGUUACGUUGAUGCAAGCUUUGACACUGAUCCGGACGAUUCUAAAUCGCAAACCGGAUACGUGUUUACAUUAAACGGUGGAGCUGUCAGUUGGUGCAGUUCUAAACAAAGCGUUGUAGCGGGAUCUACAUGUGAAGCGGAGUACAUAGCUGCUUCGGAAGCAGCAAAUGGAGGAGUCUGGAUGAAGGAGUUCAUAUCCGAUCUAGGUGUCAUACCUAGUGCAUCGGGUCCAAUGAAAAUCUUUUGUGACAAUACUGGUGCAAUAGCCUUGGCAAAGGAAUCCAGAUUUCACAAGAAAACCAAGCACAUCAAGAGACGAUUCAAUUCCAUCAGGGAUCUAGUCCAGGUGGGAGACAUAGAGAUUUGCAAGAUACAUAUGGAUCUGAAUGUUGCAGACCCGUUGACUAAGCCUCUUCCACGAGCAAAACAUGAUCAGCACCAAGGCUCCAUGGGUGUUAGAAUCAUUACUGUGUAAUCUAGAUUAUUGACUCUAGUGCAAGUGGGAGACUGAAGGAAGUAUGCCCUAGAGGCAAUAAUAAAGUUAUUAUUUAUUUCCUUAUAUCAUGAUAAAUGUUUAUUAUUCAUGCUAGAAUUGUAUUAAUCGGAAACAUAAUACAUGUGUGAAUACAUAGACAAACAGAGUGUCACUAGUAUGCCUCUACUUGACUAGCUCAUUAAUCAAAGAUGGUUAUGUUUCCUAACCAUGAACAAGGAGUUGUUAUUUGAUUAACGAGAUCACAUCAUUAGGUGAAUGAUCUGAUUGACAUGACCCAUUCCAUUAGCUUAGCACCCAAUCGUUUAGUAUGUUGCUAUUGCUUUCUUCAUGACUUAUACAUGUUCCUAUGACUAUGAGAUUAUGCAACUCCCGUUUGCCGGAGGAACACUUUGUGUGCUACCAAACGUCACAACGUAACUGGGUGAUUAUAAAGGAGCUCUACAGGUGUCUCCAAAGGUACAUGUUGGGUUGGCGUAUUUCGAGAUUAGGAUUUGUCACUCCGAUUGUCGGAGAGGUAUCUCUGGGCCCUCUCGGUAAUGCACAUCACAUAAGCCUUGCAAGCAUUGCAACUAAUGAGUUAGUUGUGAGAUGAUGUAUUACGGAACGAGUAAAGAGACUUGCCAGUAACGAGAUUGAACUAGGUAUUAAGAUACCGACGAUUGAAUCUCGGGCAAGUAACAUACCGAUGACAAAGGGAACAACGUAUGUUGUUAUGCGGUCUGACCGAUAAAGAUCUUCGUAGAAUAUGUAGGAGCCAAUAUGAGCAUCCAGGUUCCGCUAUUGGUUAUUGACCGGAGACGUGUCUCGGUCAUGUCUACAUUGUUCUCGAACCCGUAGGGUCCGCACGCUUAAGGUUUCGAUGACAGUUAUAUUAUGAGUUUAUGAGUUUUGAUGUACCGAAGUUAGUUCGGAGUCCCGGAUGUGAUCACGGACAUGACGAGGAGUCUCAAAAUGGUCGAGACAUAAAGAUUGAUAUAUUGGAUGGCUAUAUUCGAACACCGGAAGUGUUCGGGUGAUUUCGGAGAAAACCGGAGAGCCGGAGGGUUACUGGAACCCCCCCGGGAGAAGUAAUGGGCCAUAUGGGCCUUAGUGGAGAGAGAGAGGGGUAGCCAGAGGUGGGCUGCGCGCCUCCUCCCCCCUGGUCCGAAUUGGACUAGGAGAGGGGGGCGGCGCCCCCCCUUUCCCUCUCCCUCCCCACUUCUUUCCCCCUCCUGGUAGGAGUCCUACUCCUACUAGGAGGAGGACUCCUCCUGGCGCACCUAUAGGGGCCGACCGGCCUCCUCCCCUUGCUUCUUUAUAUACGGGGGCAGGGGGGCACCCCUAGACACACAAGUUGAUCCGCGUGAUCAUAUUCUUAGCCGUGUGCGGUGCCCCCUCCACCAUAUUCCACCUCGGUCAUAUUGUAGCGGUGCUUAGGCGAAGCCCUGCGAUGGUAGUACAUCAAGAUCGUCACCACGCCGUCGUGCUGACAGAACUCUUCCCCGACACUUUGCUGGAUUGGAGUUCGGGGAUCGUCAUCGAGCUGAACGUGUGCUAGAACUCGGAGGUGCCGUAGUUUCGGUGCUUGAUCAGUCGGGCCGUGGAGACAUACGACUACAUCAACCAAACGCUUCCAUUGUCGAUCUACAAGGGUACGUAGACCAUACUCUCCCCUCUCGUUGCUAUGCAUCACCAUGAUCUUGCGUGUGCGUAGGAAUUUUUUGGAAAUUACUACGUUCCCCUACAGCUACGAGGGACUUGAGCGUGGCCUUCUACUGGAUUGAUACCUUGGUUCUCAAAAACUGAGGGAAAUACUUACGCUACUCUGCUGCAUCAUCCCUUCCUCUCCGGGGAAAACCAACGCAAUCUCAAGAGGUAGCAAGAAGUAUUUCUGGCACCGUUGCCGGGGAGUCUAUGCAAAAGUCAACAUACCAAGUACCCAUCACAAUCCCUAUCUCUCGCAUUACAUUAUUUGCCAUUUGCCUCUCGUUUUCCUCUCCCCCACUUCACCAUUGCCGUUUUAUUCGCCCUCUCUCUCUAUCCUCCCUCUCUAUUUGCCUCUUUUGCCCGUUUGCUCUUGUUUGCUCGUGUGCUAGUUUGCUUGCUUGUCAUUAUGUCUGAAAUUGUGGAAGUUAUCGCCAAUAUGGGCGAUAACAAUAUCAUGGAAAAUUCUGAUGCUCCUGCUGAAGAACCCCCUACCUACCAUACAAAAAGAUUUCGAAUCGGUAGUGGUAAUAUUAUUGGAAAAGGAGUUACUCAAGAUUUCUUUACUUGUGCCGGUGCUUUGCCCUCUAUGGGCGGUUCUAUUCUCCAUAGAACUAGUAGUCUUGCAGACGCUAUUUCCAUGCUUAUCGUUGAACUUGAAAGACAAUUUAUGCAUAUGCACCCAUCUAUACAAAGAGUUUUCCUAGAAUUUUCUAAUAUCGAGCAUUCCUCUAUUAAGCGUGCCGCUACUAUAUUUUUGGCUCAUGAAUUCAGAUUUAUAAUAAAAGAAGACAAAGAAAUCUUUGCGCACUAUAGGAUGGAUGCUGCUCGUCCUCCCAUAGAAUCUAUCCUCUUUGAUCAAGAAGAAAUUAUGCGCUUUCAAUCUCCUGACUAUGUUGCUUUUAAUGAAAACCUCAGAAAAAGGUGCCAAUCAAUAUUUUAAUUGAUAGAAUCUCUGAACUUAAUGAUGAUUUGGCUAUUCGAAAUAAUGAGCUAGGAUGCUCUCUUGAGUUUAGGCUCACAAGGUUCUGUCAAAAGAAUGCUUAUAAUGAUGAAUUGGUUGUACAAUACGAAGGGCCGAAAGAGGAACCUAUACCUCCUAAAUGGAUCUUGGGGACUUCUGUCCUAUUAAAUUUAGCCCUUUUGAUUACUUUUGUUUGCCUCAAAGAAAACUUGCUGUCGAACGUAGAGAAUAUGAAAUGAGUUUCACCGAUCUAUCUUACUACUACAGCAAUACCUAGAUCUAUCCUCGCUUUUAUGCUUAGUUAGGGGCGUUAAACGAUAGCGCUUGUUGGGAGGCAACCCAAUUUUAUUUUUAUUCCUUGAUUUUUUAUCCUGCUUAGUAAUAAAUAAAUUAUUUAGCCUCUGUUUUGGUUGCGUUUUUUGUGUUUAAUUAGUGUUUGUGCCAAGUAGAACCGUUGGGAAGACUUGGGGAAAGUCUUGUUGAACUUGCUGUAAAAAAACAGAAACUUUAGCGCUCACGAGAACUGCUGUCAUUUUUAUUUGAAGAGUGAUAUUUAUUUAAUUCUUUUUGCAGAUGAUUAAUAGAUAAAUUCCUCACAUCCAGCAAUUUAUUUUAGAAUUUUUGGGGUUCCAGAUCUUGCUCUAGCUACAGAUUACUACAGACUGUUCUGUUUUUGACAGAUUCGUUUUUUAGUGUGUUGUUUGCUUAUUUUGAUGAAUCUAUGGUUAGUAAAAUAGUUUAUAAUCCAUAUAGAAGUUGGAAUACAGUAGGUUUAACACCAAUAUAAAUAAAGAAUGAGUUCAUUACAGUACCUUGAAGUGGUCUUUUGUUUUCUUUCGCUAACGGAGCUCACGGGUUUUCUACUUUAAGUUUUAUGUUGUGAAGUUUUCAAGUUUUGGGUGAAUUCUUUUGAUGGAUUAUGGAACAAGGAGUGGCAAGAGCCUAAGCUUGGGGAUGCCCAUGGCACCCCCAAGAUAAUCCAAGUACACCAAAAAGUCAAAGCUUGGGGAUGCCCCGGAAGGCAUCCCCUCUUUCGUCCACUUCCAUCGGUAAUUUACUUGGAGCUAUAUUUUUAUUCACCAACAUGAUAUGUGUUUUGCUUGGAGCGUCUUGUAUUAUUUGUGUCUUUGUGUUUUAGUAUGCCACAAUCAUCCUUGAUGUACACACCUUUUGAGAGAGCCAUACAUGAAUUAAAAUUUGAUAGAAUACUGUAUGUGCUUCACUUAUAUCUUUUGAGCAUUAUAAUUUUGCUCUAUGUGCUUCACUUAUAUCUUUUUGAGAUAAGUAGUUUUGCUCUAUGUACUUCACUUAUAUCUUUUUGAGCUAUGUAGUUUUUCUCUAUGUGCUUCACUUAUAUCUUUUGAGCGUUAUAAUUUUGCUCUAUGUGCUUCACUUAGAUCUUUUAGAGCACGGUGGUGGAUUUGUUUUAAAGAAACUAUUGAUCUCUCAUGCUUCACUUAAAUUAUUUUGAGAGUCUCUUAAUAGCAUGGUAAUUUGCUUAAUAAUAAUAUGCUUGGUAUUCAAGAUUUGUGAAACUUUAUUUUGAGUGUGUUGAAUACUAAGAAAAGAUUGAAGCAUGAUAAUUGUUUUGAGAUAUGGAGGUGAUAAUAUUAAAGUCAUGCUAGUUGAGUAGUUGUGAAUUUAAAGAAUACUUGUGUUAAAGUUUGAGAUUCCCGUAGCAUGCACGUAUGGUGAACCGUUAUGUGAUGAAGUCGGAGCAUGAUUUAUUUAUUGAUUGUUUUCCUUAUGAGUGGCGGUCGGGGACGAGCGAUGGUCUUUUCCUACCAAUCUAUCCCCCUAGGAGCAUGCGCGUAAUACUUUGCUUUGAUAACUUCUAGAUUUUUGCAAUAAGUAUAUGAGUUCUUUAUGACUAAUGUUGAGUCCAUGCAUUAUACACACUCUCACCCUUCCACCUUUGCUAGCCUCUCUAAUACCGCGCACCUUUCCCCGGUAUCAUACACCUACCAUAUACCUUCCUCAAAACAGCCACCAUACCUACCUAUUAUGGCAUUUCCAUAGCCAUUCCAAGAUAUAUUGCCAUGCAACUUUCCACCGUUCCGUUCAUGACACAAUCAUCAUUGUCAUAUUGCAUAUCCCGGUACACCGCCGGAGGCAUUCAUAUAGAGUCAUAUUUUGUUCCAAGUAUCGAGUUGUAAUUGUUGAGUUGUAAGAAAAAUAAAAGUGUGAUGAUCAUCAUUAUUAGAGCAUUGUCCAGGUGAGGAAAGGAUGAUGGAGACUAUGAUUCCCCCAUAAGUCGGGAUGAGACUCCGGACAAAAAAAAGAGGCCAAAGAAGCCCAAAUAAAAAGACGCCAUAAAAAAGAGAAAAGGCCCAAAUAAAAAAAUGAGAGAAAAAGAGAGAUGGGACAAUGUUACUAUCCUUUUACCACACUUGUGCUUCAAAGUAGCACCAUGAUCUUCAUAGUAGAGAGUCUCUCAUGUUAUCACUUUCAUAUACUAGUGGGAAUCUUUCAUUAUAGAACUUGGCUUGUAUAUUCCAAUGAUGGGCUUCCUCAAAUUGCCCUAGGUCUUCAUGAGCAAGCAAGUUGGAUUCACACCCACUUAGUUUCUUUUUGAGCUUUCUUAUACUUAUAGCUCUAGUGCAUCCGUUGCAUGGCAAUCCCUACUCACUCAUAUUGAUAUCUAUUGAUGGGCAUCUCCAUAGCCCGUUGAUACGCCUAGUUGAUGUGAGACUGUCUUCUCCUUUUUGUCUUCUCCACAACCACCAUUCUAUUCCACCUAUAGUGCUAUAGCCAUGGCUCACGCUCAUGUAUUGCGUGAAGAUUGAAAAAGUUUUGAAAAAGUUAGAGUAUGAAACAAUUGCUUGGCUUGUCAUCGGGGUUGUGCAUGAUUUAAAUACUUUGUGUGGUGAAGAUAGAGCAUAGCCAGACUAUAUGAUUUUGUAGGGAUAACUUUCUUUGGCCGUGUUAUUUUGAGAAGACAUAAUUGCUUUCUUAGUAUGCUUGAAGUAUUAUUAUUUUUAUGUCAAUAUAAACUUUUGUCUUGAAUCUUUUGAAUCUGAAUAUUCACAUCACAAUUAAGAGGAUUUGCAUUGAAAUUAUGCCAAGUAGCACUCCGCAUCAAAAAUUCUCUUUUUAUCAUUUACCUACUCGAGGACGAGCGGGAAUUAAGCUUGGGGAUGCCUGAUACGUCUCCAACGUAUCUAUAAUUUUUUAUUGCUCCAUGCUAUAUUAUCUACUGUUUUGGACUAUAUUGGGCUUUAUUUUCCACUUUUAUAUUAUUUUUGGGACUAACCUAUUAACCGGAGGCCCAGCCUAGAAUUGCUGUUUUUGCCUAUUUCAGUGUUUCGAAGAAACAGAAUAUCAAACGGAGUCCAAACGGAAUGAAACCUUCGAGAACGUGAUUUUCUCACCGAACGUGAUCCAGGAGACUUGGACCCUACACCAAGGCAUCAGAGAGGCGGUCACGAGGGUGGGGGCGCGCCCCCUAGGGCACGCCCCCUGCCUCGUGGGCCCCUUGGUGCUCCACCGACGUACUCCUUCCUCCUAUAUAUACCUACGUACCCCCAAACGAUCAGAACAGGAGCCAUAAACCUAAUUCCACCGCCGCAACUUUCUGUAUCCACGAGGUCCCAUCUUGGGGCUUGUUCCGGAGCUCCGCCGGAGAGGUCCGUCAUCACAGAGGGCUUCUACAUCAUCAUAGACUCUCCGAUGAAGUGUGAGUAGUUUACCUCAGACCUUCGGGUCCAUAGUUAGUAGCUAGAUGGCUUCUUAUCUCUUUUUGGAUCUCAAUACAAAGUUCUCCCCCUCUCUUGUGGAGAUCUAUUCGAUGUAAUCUUCUUUUUGCGGUGUGUUUGUUGAGAUCGAUGAAUUGUGGGUUUAUGUUCAAGUCUAUCUAUGAAUAAUAUUUGAAUCUUCUCUGAAUUCUUUUAUGUAUGAUUGGUUAUCUUUGCAAGUCUCUUCGAAUUAUCCAUUUGGUUUGGUCAACUAGAUUGGUAGUUCUUGCCAUGGGAGAAGUGCUUAGCUUUGGGUUCGAUCUUGCGGUGUCCUUUCCUAGUGACAGAAGGGGCAGCAAGGCACGUAUUGCAUCGUUGCCAUCGAGGAUAACAAGAUCGUGUUUAUUUCAUAUUGCAUGAAUUUAUCUCUCUACAUCAUGUCAUCUUGCUUAAGGCGUUACUCUGUUUUUAACUUAAUACUCUAGAUGCAUGCUGGAUAGCGGUCGAUGAGUGGAGUAAUAGUAGUAGAUGCAGAAUCGUUUCGGUCUACUUGUCACGGACGUGAUGCCUAUAUACAUGAUAAUGCCUAGAUAUUCUCAUAACUAUGCUCAAUUCUGUCAAUUGCUCAACAGUAAUUUGUUCACCCACCGUAGAAUACUUAUGCUCUUGAGAGAAGCCACUAGUGAAACCUAUGCCCCCCGGGUCUAUUCUCAUCAUAUCUAUCUCCAUCACUUUAAUCUUGCUUUGCUUUUUUACUUUGCUUUUACUUUUCACUUUGCAUCUCUAUACCAAAAAUGCCAAAAAUAUUAUAUCUAUCAAAUCUCACUCUCGUAAGUGACCGUGAAGGGAUUGACAACCCCUAAUCGCGUUGGUUGCGAGUAGCUAUCGUUUUGUGCAGGUACGAGGGACUUGAGCGUGGCCUCCUACUGGAUUGAUACCUUGGUUCUCAAAAACUGAGGGAAAUACUUACGCUACUCUGAUGCAUCAUCCCUUCCUCUUCGGGGAAAAACCAACGCAAGCUCAAGAGGUAGCAGAGGUCUACGCAAAAGUCAACAUACCAAGUACCCAUCACAAACCCUUAUCUCCUGCAUUACAUUAUUUGCCAUUUGCCUCUCGUUUUCCUCUCCCCCACUUCACCCUUGCCGUUUUAUUCGCCCCCCUCUCUCUCUCUAUCCUCCCUCUCUUUCUCUAUUUGCCUCUUUUUUGCCCGUUCCUCAUUUGCUUGUGUGUUGGAUUGCUUGCUUGUCACGAUGGCUCAAGAUAACACUGAAUUGUGUGACUUUACCAAUACCAACAACAAUGAUUUUAUUAGCACUCCGAUUUCUCCUCUUACCGAUGCCGAAUCUUGUGAAAUUAAUGCUGCCUUGCUGAAUCUUGUCAUGAAAGAUCCUUUUUUCGGCCUUCCUAGUGAAGAUGCCGCUACCCAUCUAAAUAGCUUCGUUGAUUUGUGUGACAUGCAAAAGAAGAAAGAUGUGGACAAUGAUAUUGUUAAACUGAAGCUAUUUCCUUUUUCGCUUAGAGAUCGUGCUAAAGCUUGGUUUUCGUCUUUGCCUAAAAAUAGUAUUGAUUCUUGGGAUAAGUGCAAAGAUGCUUUUAUCUCUAAGUAUUUUCCUCCCGCUAAGAUCAUCUCUCUUAGAAACGAUAUUAUGAAUUUUAAGCAACUUGAUCAUGAACGUGUUGCACAAGCUUGGGAGAGGAUGAAAUUAAUGAUACGUAAUUGCCCAACACAUGGUUUAAAUUUGUGGAUGAUUAUACAACAAUUUUAUGCCGGAUUGAAUUUUGCUUCUAGAAAUCUUUUAGAUUCGGUCGCGGGAGGCAUUUUUAUGGAAAUAACUUUAGGAGAAGCUACUAAACUCCUAGAUAAUAUUAUCGUUAAUUCUUCUCAAUGGCACACCGAAAGAUCUACUAACAAGAAAGUGCAUGCGAUAGAAGAAAUUAAUGUUUUGGGUGGGAAGAUGGAUGAACUUAUGAAAUUAUUUGCUAAUAAAAGUGUUUCUUCUAAUCCUAAUGAUAUGCCUUUGUCUACUUUGAUUGAGAAUAAUAAUGAAUCUAUGGAUGUGAAUUUUGUUGGUAGGAAUAAUUUUGGUAACAACGCGUAUAGAGGAAACUUUAAUCCCAGGCCUUAUCCUAGUAAUUCCUAUAAUAAUUAUGCUAAUUCCUACAACAAUUCUUAUGUAAAUUUUAAUAAGAUACCCUCUGAUUUUGAAUCUAAUAUUAAAGAAUUUAUUACUUCGCAAAAGAAUUUCAAUGCUUUGAUUGAAGAAAAAUUCCUUAAGAUUGAUGAGUUGGCUAGGAACAUUGAUAGAAUUUCUCUUGAUAUUGAUUCUUUGAAACUUAGAUCUAUUUCACCUAAGCAUGAUAUCAAUGAGUCUCUCAAAGUCAUGAGAAUUUCCAUUGAUGAGUGCAAAGAAAGAACCGCUAGGAUGCGUGCUAAGAAAGAUUCCUUUAUAAGAGUGUGUUCUUCUAGUUUCCAUGAUAAUAAAGAUGAAGAUCUAAAAGUUAUUGAUGUCUCCCCUAUUAAAUAUUUGUUUUGCAAUAUGAAUCUUGGUAAUGAUGGGGCUGAAUAUGAUCCACCUUUACCUAGAAGGCGUUCCAAAAAUUCGGAGUUUUUAGAUCUUGAUGCUAAAUUUGAUAAAAGUGGGAUUGAAGAGAUCAAAACUCUAGAUGUUAAUGAACCUGCUAUUUUGGAUUUCAAGGAAUUUAAUUAUGAUAGCUGCUCUUUGAUAGAUUUUAUUUCCUUGUUCCAAUCUGUGCUAAAUUCUCCUCAUGCUUAUAGCCAAAAUAAAGCUUUUACCAAACAUAUCGUUGAUGCUUUGAUGCAAUCUUAUGAAGAAAAACUUGAGUUGGAAGUUUCUAUCCCUAGAAAACUUUAUGAUUAGUGGGAACCAACUAUUAAGAUUAAAAUUAAAGAUCAUGAAUGUUAUGCUUUGUGUGAUUUGGGUGCUAGUGUUUCCACGAUUCCAAAGACUUUGUGUGAUUUGUUAGGUUUCUGUGAUUUUGAUGAUUGCUCUUUAAACUUGCACCUUGCGUAUUCCACUAUUAAGAAACCUAUGGGAAGAAUUAAUGAUGUUCUUAUUGUUGCAAAUAGGAACUUUGUGCCCGUAGAUUUUAUUGUUCUUGACAUAGAUUGCAAUCCUUCAUGUCCUAUUAUUCUUGGUAGACCUUUCCUUAGAACGAUUGGUGCAAUUAUUGAUAUGAAGGAAGGACAUAUUAGAUUCCAAUUUCUGUUAAGGAAAGGCAUGGAACACUUCCCCAGAAAGAAAAUUAAAUUACCUUAUGAAUCUAUUAUGAGAACCACUUAUGGAUUGCCUACCAAAGAUGGCAUUGCUUUUUAUGCCUAGCUAGGGGCGUUAAACGAUAGCGCUUGUUGGGAGGCAACCCAAUCUUAUUUUUAUUCCUUGCUUUUUGCUCCUGUUUAGUAAUAAAUAAUUUAUCUAGCCUCUGUUUUGGUUGUGUUUAAUUAGUGUUUGUGCCAAGUAAAACCGUUGGGAAGACUUGGGGAGAGUCCUGUUAAUCUUGCUGUAAAAAAACAGAAACUUUAGCGCUCACGAGAACUGCUGCCAUUUUUAUUUGGAAAGUGCUAUUUAGUUAAUUAUUUUUGAAGAUUAUUAAUAAAUAAAAUUCCUCAAGUCCAGAAAUUUAUUUUAGAAUUUUUGGGGUUCCAGAUCUUGCGCUAGCUACAGAUUACUACAGACUGUUCUGUUUUUGACAGAUUCUGUUUUUCGUGUGUUGUUUGCUUAUUUUGAUGAAUCUAUGGCUAGUAAAAUAGUUUAUAAACCAUAGAUAAGUUGGAAUACAGUAGGUUUAACACCAAUAUAAAUAAAGAAUGAGUUCAUUACAGUACCUUGAAGUGGUCUUUUGUUUUCUUUCGCUAACGAAGCUCACGAGAUUUUCUACUUUAAGUUUUGUGUUGUGAAGUUUUCAAGUUUUGGGUAAGGAUUUGAUGGAUUAUGGAACAAGGAGUGGCAAGAGACUAAGAUUGGGGAUGACCAUGGCACCCCCAAGAUAAUCUAAGGACACCAAAAAGCCAAAGCUUGGAGAUGCCCCGGAAGGCAUCCCCUCUUUCGUCUACUUCCAUCGGUAACUUUACUUGGAGCUAUAUUUUUAUUCACCACAUGAUAUGUGUUUUGCUUGGAGCGUCUUGUAUGAUUUGAGUCUUUGAUUUUUAGUUUACCACAAUCAUCUUUGCUGUACACACCUUUUGAGAGACACACACAUGAUUCAGAAAUUAUUAGAAUACUCUAUGUGCUUCACUUAUAUCUUUUGAGUUAUAUAGUUUUGCUCUAGUACUUCACUUAUAUCUUUUAGAGCACAGUGGUGGAUUUAUUUUAUAGAAACUAUUGAUCUCUCAUGCUUCACUUAGAUUAUUUUGAGAGUCUUAAAUAGCAUGUUAAUUUGCUUAAAUAAUCCUAAUAUGCUAGGCAUUCAAGAUUAGUAAAAACUUUCUUAUGAGUGUUUUGAAUACUAAGAGAAGUUUGAUGCUUGAUGAUUGUUUUGAGAUAUGGAGGUAGUGAUAUUAAAGUUGUGCUAGUUGAGUAGUUGUGAAAUUGAGAAAUACUAGUAUUGAAGUUUGCAAGUCCCGUAGCAUGCACGUAUGGUAAACGUUAUGUAACAAAUUUGAAACAUGAGGUGUUCUUUCAUUGUCGUCCUUAUGAGUGGCGGUCGGGGACGAGCGGUGGUCUUUUCCUACCAAUCUAUCCCCCUAGGAGCAUGUGCGUAGUGCUUGGUUUUUGAUGACUUGUAGAUUUUUGCAAUAAGUAUGUGAGUUCUUUAUGACUAAUGUUGAGUCCAUGGAUUAUACACGCUCUCACGCUUCCAUCAUUGCUAGCCUCUUCGGUACCCUGCAUUGCCCUUUCUCACAUUGAGAGUUGGUGCAAACUUCGCCGGUGCAUCCAAACCCCGUGAUAUGAUACGCUCUUUCGCACAUAAACCUCCUUAUAUCUUCCUCAAAACAUCCACCAUACCUACCUAUUAUGGCAUUUUGAUAGCCAUUCCGAGAUAUAUUGCCAUGCAACUUUCCACCAUCCUGUUUAUCAUGACACGUUCAUCGUUGUCAUAUUGCUUUGCAUGAUCAUGUAGUUGACAUCGUGUUUUUGGCAAAGCCACCAUUCGUAAUUCUUUCAUACAUGUCACACUUGAUUCAUUGCAUAUCCCGGUACACUGCCGGAGGCAUUCAUAUAGAGUCAUACCUUGUUCUAGUAUCGAGUUGUAAUCAUUGAGUUGUAAAUAAAUAGAAGUGUGAUGAUCAUCAUUUAAUAGAGCAUUGUACCAAUAUAAAAAAAGAGAAAGGCCAAAAAAAGAAGAAGGCCCCAAAAAAAGAGAAAUGAAAAGGACAAUGCUACUAUCUUUUUUCCACAAUUGUGCUUCAAAGUAGCAUCAUGAUCUUCAUGAUAGAGAGUCUCUUGUUUCGUCACUUUCAUAUACUAGUGGGAAUUUUUCAUUAUAGAACCUGGCUUGUAUAUUCCAACAAUGGGCCUCCUCAAGUGCCCUAGGUCUUCGUGAGCAAGCAAGUUGGAUGCACACCCACUAGUUUCUUUUGUUGAGCUGUCAUACAUUUAUAGCUCUAGUGCAUCCGUUGCAUGGCAAUCCCUACUCAUUGCAUUAACAUCAAUCGAUGGGCAUCUCCAUAGCCCAUUGAUUAGCCUCGUUGAUGUGAGACUUUCUCCUUUUUUGUCUUCUCCAGAUAACCCCCAUCAUUAUACUCUAUUCCACCCAUAGUGCUAUAUCCAUGGCUCACGCUCAUGUAUUGCGUGAAGGUUUAUAAAGUUUGAGAUUACUAAAGUAUGAAACAAUUGCUUGGCUUAUCAUCGGGGUUGUGCAUGAUGAGAGCAUUCUUGUGUGACGAAAAUGGAGCAUGACUAAACUAUAUGAUUUUGUAGGGAUGAACUUUCUUUGGACAUGUUAUUUUGAGAAUACAUAAUUGCUUAGUUAGUAUGCUUGAAGUAUUAUUAUUUCUAUGUCAAUAUUAAACUUUUAUCUUGAAUCUUUCGGAUCUGAAUAUUCAUGCCACAAUUAAGAAGAAUUACAUUGAAAUUAUGCCUAGUAGCAUUCCACAUCAAAAAUUCUGUUUUUAUCAUUUACCUACUCGAGGACGGGCAGGAAUUAAGCUUGGGGAUGCUUGAUACGUCUCCAACGUAUCUAAAAUUUUUGAUUGUUACAUGCUAUAUUAUAUUCUGUUUUGGACAUUAUUGUGUUGGGGAACGUAGCAGAAUUUUAAAAUUUUCUACGCAUCACCAAGAUCUAUCUAUGGAGUCAUCUAGCAACGAGGGAGAGAGGAGUGCAUCCACAUACCCUUGUAGAUCACGAGCGGAAGCGUUCAAGAGAACGGGGUUGAUGGAGUCGUACUCGUCGUGAUCCAAAUCACCGAAGAUCCUAGCGCCGAACGGACGGCACCUCCGUGUUCAACACACGUACGGAGCGAGGACGUCUCCCGCGCCUUGAUCCAGCAAGGAGGAGGGAGAGGUUGAGGAAGAGGGCUCCAACAGCAGCACGACGGCAUGGUGGUGGUGAAGCUGCAGGACUCCGGCAGGGCUUCGCCAAGCUCUUAUGGAGGAGGAGAGGUGUUGGGGAGGGGAGGGGCUGCGCCUUGGAUGUUGUCUACAGCCCUCCCCUUGCCCCUCUAUUUAUAGGGGAAGGAGGAAGGGGGCCGGCCCCCUCUAGAUGAGUUCUAGAGGGGGGGCGGCGGCCAAGGGGAGGGGGCUUGCCCCCCAAGCAAGGGGGGCGCCCCCUUUAGGGUUUCCCCCCAACCCUAGGCGCAUGGGCCCAAGGGGGGGAUGCGGCCAGCCCAUGUAGGGAUGGUUCCCUUUCCUCUACAGCCCAUUAGGCCCUCCAAGAGAGGUGGCCCCUCCCGGUGGACCCCCGGAACCCCUCCGAUGGCCCCAGUACAAUACCGAUAUGCCCCCGAACCUUUCCGGUGACCGUAUGUCAACUUCCUACAUAUAAAUCUUCACCUCCAGACCAUUCCGGAACUCCUCGUGACGUCCGGGAUCUCAUCCGGGACUCCGAACAACAUUAGGUAGUCACAUACAAGUCUUCCUAACAACCCUAGCGUCACCGAACCUUAAGUGUGUAGACCCUACGGGUUCGGGAGACAUGCAGACAUGACCGAGACGACUCUCCGGUCAAUAACCAACAGCAGGAUCUGGAUACCCAUGUUGGCUCCCACAUGCUCCACGAUGAUCUCAUUGGAUGAACCACGAUGUCGAGGAUUCAAUCAAUCCGUAUACAAUUCCCUUUGUCAAUCGGUACAUUACUUGCCCGAGACUCGAUCGUCGGUAUCCCAAUACCUUGUUCAGUCUCGUUACCAGCAAGUCACUUUACUCGUAUUGUAAUGCAUGAUCCCGUGAUCAACCACUUGAUCACAUUGAGCUCAUUAUGAUGAUGCAUUACCGAGUGGGCCCAGAGAUACCUCUCCGUCAUACGGAGUGACAAAUCCCAGUCUCAAUUCAUGCCAACCCAACAGACACUUUCGGAGAUACCUGUAAUGUACCUUUAUAGUCACCCAGUUACGUUGUGACGUUUCGCACACCCAAGGCACUCCUACGGUAUCUAGGAGUUGCACAAUCUCAUGGUCUAAGGAAAUGAAACUUGACAUUCAGAAAAGCUACAGCAAACGAACUACACGAUCUUUGAGCUAUGCUUAGGAUUGGGUCGUGUCCAUCACAUCAUUCUCCUAAUGAUGUGAUCCCGUUAUCAAUGACAUCCAAUGUCCAUAGUCAGGAAACCAUGACUAUCUUUUGAUCAACGAGCUAGUCAACUAGAGGAUCACAAGGGACGUGUUGUGGUCUAUGUAUUCACACAUGUAUUACGAUUUCCAGAUAACACAAUUAUAGCAUGAACAAUAGACAAUUAUCAUGAACAAAGAAAUAUAAUAAUAACCAUUUUAUUAUUGCCUCUAGGGCAUAUUUCCAAUAGUCUCCCACUUGCACUAGAGUCAAUAUUCUAGUUACAUUGUGAUGAAUCGAACACCCAUGCAGUUCUGGUGUUGAUCAUGUUUUGCUCUAGGGAGAGGUUUAGUCAACGGAUCUGCUACAUUCAGGUCCGCAUGUACUUUACAAAUCUCUAUGUCUCCAUUUUGAACACUUUCACGAAUGGAGUUGAAGCGACGCUUGAUAUGCCUGGUCUUCCUGUGAAACCUGGGCUCCUUGGCAAGGGCAAUAGCUCCAGUGUUGUCACAGAAGAGAGUCAUCGGGCCCGACGCAUUGGGUAUGACUCCUAGGUCGGUAAUGAACUCCUUUACCCAGACUGCUUCUUGUGCUGCCUCCGAGGCUGCCAUGUACUCCACUUCACAUGUAGAUCCCGCCACAACGCUUUGCUUGCAACUGCACCAGCUUACUGCCCCACCAUUCAAAAUAUACAUGUAUCCGGUUUGUGACUUAGAGUCAUCCAGAUCUGUGUCGAAGUUAGCAUCGACGUAACCCUUUACGACGAGCUCUUCGUCACCUCCAUAAACGAGAAACAUUUCCUUAAUCCUUUUCAGGUACUUCAGGAUAUUCUUGACCGCUGUCCAGUGUUCCAUGCCGGGAUUACUUUGGUACCUUCCUACCAAACUUACGACAAGGUUUACAUCAGGUCUGGUAGACAUCAUAGCAUACAUGAUAGACCCUAUGGCCGAGGCAUAGGGGACGACACUCAUCUUUUCUGUAUCUUCUGCCGUGGUCGGGCAUUGAGCCGUGCUCAAUCUCGUACCUUGCAAUACAGGCAAGAACCCCUUCUUUGACUGAUCCAUUUUGAACUUCUUCAAUAUCUUGUCAAGGUAUGUACUCUGUGAAAGACCAAUGAGGCGUCUCGAUCUAUCUCCAUAGAUCUUGAUGCCUAAUAUAUAAGCAGCUUCUCCAAGGUCCUUCAUUGAAAAACACUUGUUCAAGUAGGCCUUUAUGCUUUCCAAGAAUUCUAUAUCAUUUCCCAUCAAUAGUAUGUCAUCCACAUACAAUAUGAGAAAUGCUACAGAGCUCCCACUCACUUUCUUGUAAAUGCAGGCUUCUCCAUAAGUCUGUAUAAACCCAAAUGAUUUGAUCAUCUCAUCAAAACGAAUGUUCCAACUCCGAGAUGCUUGCACCAGCCCAUAAAUUGAGCGUUGGAGCUUGCACACCUUGUCAGCAUUCUUAGGAUCGACAAAACCUUCUGGCUGCAUCAUAUACAAUUCUUCCUUAAGGAAACCAUUAAGGAAUGCCAUUUUGACGUCCAUUUGCCAUAUCUCAUAAUCAUAGAAUGCGGCAAUUGCUAACAUGAUUCGGAUGGACUUCAGCUUUGCUACGGGUGAGAAAGUCUCAUCGUAGUCAACCCCUUGAACUUGUCGAUAAACCUUAGAGACAAGCCGAGCAUUAUAGAUGGUCACAUUACCAUCCACGUAUGUCUUCUUCUUAAAGAUCCAUUUAUUUUCUAUGGCUCGCCGAUCAACGGGCAAGUCAGUCAAAGUCCACACUUUGUUUUCAUACAUGGAUCCUAUCUCGGAUUUCAUGGCUUCCAGCCAUUUGUCGAAAUUUGGGCCCGCCAUCGCUUCUUCAUAGUUCGAAGGUUCACCGUUGUCUAACAACAUGAUUUCCAAGACAGGGUUGCCGUACCACUCUGGUGCGGAACGUGUCCUUGUGGACCUACGAAGUUCAGUAGCAACUUGAUCUGAAGUUUCAUGAUCAUCAUCAUCAACUUCCUCUCUAGUCGGUGCAGGCACCUCUGGAACAUUUUCUUGAGCUGCGCCACUUACCGGUUCAAGAGGCAAUACUUCAUCAAGUUCUACUUUCCUCCCACUUAUUUCUUUUGAGAGAAACUCUUUCUCUAGAAAGGACCCAUUCUUGGCAACAAAGAUCUUGCCUUCGGAUCUGAGGUAGAAGGUAUACCCAACAGUUUCUUUAGGGUAUCCUAUGAAGACGCAUUUUUCCGACUUGGGUUCGAGCUUUUCAGGUUGAAGUUUCUUGACAUAAGCAUCACAUCCCCAAACUUUUAGAAACAACAGCUUAGGUUUCUUCCCAAACCAUAAUUCAUACGGUGUCGUCUCAACGGAUUUCGACGGAGCCCUAUUUAAAGUGAAUGCGGUAGUCUCUAAAGCAUAGCCCCAAAAUGACAGCGGUAAAUUGGUAAGAGACAUCAUAGAUCGCACCAUAUCCAAUAGAGUGCGAUUACGACGUUCAGACACACCAUUACGCUGAGGUGUUCCAGGCGGUGUGAGUUGUGAAACUAUUCCACAUUUUCUUAAGUGUGUGCCAAAUUCGUGACUCAAGUAUUCUCCCCCACGAUCUGAUCGCAAGAACUUGAUUUUCUUGUCACAUUGAUUCUCAACCUCACUCUGAAAUUCCUUGAACUUUUCAAAGGUCUCAGACUUGUGUUUCAUUAAGUAGACAUACCCAUAUCUACUCAAGUCAUCAGUGAGGGUGAGAACAUAACGAUAGCCACCGCGAGCCUCAACACUCAUUGGACCGCACACAUCAGUAUGUAUGAUUUCCAAUAAGUUGGUUGCUCGCUCCAUUGUUCCUGAGAACGGAGUCUUGGUCAUUUUACCCAUGAGGCAUGGUUCGCACGUGUCAAAUGAUUCAUAAUCAAGAGACUCUAAAAGUCCAUCUGCAUGGAGCUUCUUCAUGCGUUUGACACCUAUGUGACCAAGGCGGCAGUGCCACAAGUAUGUGGGACUAUCAUUAUCAUCCUUACAUCUUUUGGUAUUCACACUAUGAAUAUGUGUAGCAUUACGCUCGAGAUUCAUUAAGAAUAAACCAUUCACCAUCGGAGCAUGACCAUAAAACAUAUCUCUCAUAUAAAUAGAACAACCAUUAUUCUCGGAUUUAAAUGAGUAGCCAUCUCGAAUUAAACGAGAUCCUGAUACAAUGUUCAUGCUCAAAGCUGGCACUACAUAACAAUUAUUGAGGUUUAAAACUAAUCCCGUAGGUAAAUGUAGAGGCAGCGUGCCGACGGCGAUCACAUCGACCUUGGAACCAUUCCUGACGCGCAUCGUCACCUCGUCCUUCGCCAGUCUCCGCUUAUUCCGCAACUCCUGCUUUGAGUUACAAAUGUGAGCAACCGCACCGGUAUCAAAUACCCAGGAGCUACUACGAGUACUGGUAAGGUACACAUCAAUUACAUGUAUAUCACAUAUACCUUUAGUGUUGCCGGCCUUCUUGUCCGCUAAGUAUUUGGGGCAGUUCCGAUUCAAGUGACCACUUCCCUUGCAAUAAAAACACUCAGUCUCGGGCUUGGGUCCAUUCUUUGGCUUCUUCCUGGCAGCUUGCUUACCGGGCACGGCAACUCCCUUGCCGUUCUUCUUGAAGUUCUUCUUACCCUUGCCUUUCUUGAACUUAGUGGUUUUAUUCACCAUCAACACUUGAUGUUCCUUUUUGACUUCUAGCUCUGCUGAUUUCAGCAUUGAAUAUACCCCAGGAAUGGUCUUUUCCAUCCCCUGCAUAUUGAAGUUCAUCACAAAGCUCUUGUAGCUCGGUGGAAGCGACUGAAGGAUUCUGUCAAUGACCGCGUCAUCCGGGAGAUUAACUCCCAGCUGAGUCAAGCGGUUAUGCAACCCAGACAUUUUGAGUUUGUGCUCACUGACAGAACUAUUUUCCUCAAUCUUACAGCUGAAGAACUUGUCGGAGACUUCAUAUCUCUCGACCCGGGCAUGAGCUUGAAAAACCAUUUUCAGCUCUUCGAACAUCUCAUAUGCUCCAUGUCUCUCAAAACGCUUUUGGAGCCCCGGUUCUAAGCUGUAAAGCAUGCCGCACUGAACGAGGGAGUAAUCAUCAGCACGUGACUGCCAAGCUUUCAUAACGUCUUGGUUCUGUGGGACGGGUGCGUCACCUAGCGGUGCUUCUAGGACAUAAUCUUUCUUGGCAGCUAUGAGGAUGAUCCUCAGGUUCCGGACCCAGUCCGUAUAGUUGCUGCCAUCGUCUUUCAACUUGGUUUUCUCUAGGAACGCGAUGAAGUUGAGGACAACAUGGUCCAUUUGAUCUACAAGACAUAUUGUAAAGAUUUUAGACUAAGUUCAUGAUAAUUAAGUUCAUCUAAUCAAAUUAUUCAAUGAACUCCCACUCAGAUAGACAUCCCUCCAGUCAUCUAAGUAUAACAUGAUCCGAGUUAACUAGGCCGUGUCUGAUCAUCACGUGAGACGGAGUAGUCAACAUCGGUGAACAUCUUCAUGUUGAUCGUAUCUUCUAUAUGACUCAUGCUCGACCUUUUGGUCUUCUGUGUUCCGAGGCCAUGUCUGUACAUGCUAGGCUCGUCAAGUCAACCUAAGUGUAUUGCAUGUGUAAAUCUGGCUUACGCCCGUUGUAUUCGAACGUUAGAAUCUAUCACACCCGAUCAUCACGUGGUGCUUCGAAACUACGAACCUUCGCAACGGUGCACAGUUAGGGGGAACACUUUCUUGAAAUUAUUUCGAGGGAUCAUCUUAUUUAAGCUACCGUCGUUCUAAGCAAAUAAGAUGUAAAACAUGAUAAACAUCACAUGCAAUCAAAUAGUGACAUGAUAUGGCCAAUAUCAUUUGCUCCUUUUGAUCUCCAUCUUCGGGGCUCCAUGAUCAUCGUUGUCACCGGCAUGACACCAUGAUCUCCAUCAUCAUGAUCUCCAUCAUCGUGUCUUCUUAAAGUUGUCUCGUCAUCUAUUACUUCUACUACUAUGGCUAACGCUUUAGCAAUAAAGUAAAGUAAUUACAUGACGUUUAUGUUGACACGCAGGUCAUAAAUAAAUAAAUACAACUCCUAUGGCUCCUGCCGGUUGUCAUACUCAUCGACAUGCAAGUCGUGAUUCCUAUUACAAGAACAUGAUCAUCUCAUACAUCACAUAUAUCAUUCAUCACAUCCUUUGGCCAUAUCACAUCACAAAACACUUGCUGCAAAAACAAGUUAGACGUCCUCUAAUUGUUUUCGCAAGUUUUUACGUGGCUGCUAUAGGUUUCUAGCAAGAACGUUUCUUACCUACGCCAAAACCACAACGUGAAUUGCCAAUUUCUAUUUACCCUUCAUAAGGACCCUGUUCAUCGAGUCCGAUUCGGCUAAAGUGGGAGAGACAGACACCCGCCAGCCACCUUAUGCAACUAGUGCAUGUCAAUCGGUGGAACCAGUCUCACGUAAGCGUACGUGUAAGGUCAAUCAGGGCCGCUUCAUCCCACGAUGCCGCCGAAUCAAGACAAGACUAGUAACGGCAAGCAAAUUGACAAUUUCGAUGCCCAUAAUUGCUUUGUGUUCUACUCGUGCAUAGUAACUAUGCAUAGACCUAGCUCAUGAUGCCACUGUUGGGGAACGUAGCAGAAUUUUAAAAUUUUCUACGCAUCACCAAGAUCUAUCUAUGGAGUCAUCUAGCAAUGAGGGAGAGAGGAGUGCAUCUACAUACCCUUGUAGAUCACGAGCGGAAGCGUUCAAGAGAACGAGGUUGAUGGAGCCGUACUCGUCGUGAUCCAAAUCACCGAAGAUCCUAGCGCCGAACGGACGGCACCUCCGCAUUCAACACACAUACGGAGCGAGGACGUCUCCCGCGCCUUGAUCCAGCAAGGAGGAGGGAGAGGUUGAGGAAGAGGGCUCCAACAGCAGCACGAUGGCGUGGUGGUGGUGAAGUUGCAGUACUCCGGCAGGGCUUCGCCAAGCUCUUAUGGAGGAGGAGAGGUGUUGGGGAGGGGAGGGGCUGCGCCUUGGAUGUUGUCUACAGCCCUCCCCUUGCCCCUCUAUUUAUAGGGGAAGGAGGAAGGGGGCCGGCCCCUCUAGAUGAGAUCUAGAGGGGGGGCGGCCAAGUGGAGGGGGCUUGCCCCCCAAGCAAGGGGGGCGACCCCUUUAGGGUUCCCCCCCCAACCCUAGGCGCAUGGGCCCAAGGGGGGGAUGCGGCCAGCCCAUGUAGGGCUGGUUCCCUUUCCUCUACAGCCCAUGAGGCCCUCCGAGAGAGGUGGCCCCUCCCGGUGGACCCCCGGAACCCCUCCGAUGGCCCCAGUACAAUACUGAUAUGCCCCCGAACCUUUCCGGUGACCGUAUGUCAACUUCCUACAUAUAAAUAUUCACCUCCGGACCAUUCCGGAACUCCUCGUGGCGUCCGGGAUCUCAUCCGGGACUCUGAACAACAUUCAUUAAUCACAUACAAGUCUUCCUAACAACCCUAGCAUCACCGAACCUUAAGUGUGUAGACCCUAUGGGUUCGGGAGACAUGCAGACAUGAUCGAGACGACUCUCCGGUCAAUAACCAACAACGGGAUCUGGAUACCCAUGUUGGCUCCCACAUGCUCCACGAUGAUCUCAUCGGAUGAACCACGAUGUCGAGGAUUCAAUCAAUCCGUAUACAAUUCCCUUUGUCAAUCGGUACGUUACUUGCCCGAGACUCGAUCGUCGGUAUCCCAAUACCUUGUUCAGUCUCGUUACCAGCAAGUCACUUUACUCGUACCGUAAUGCAUGAUCCCGUGAUCAACCACUUGAUCACAUUGAGCUCAUUAUGAUGAUGCAUUAUCGAGUGGGCCCAGAGAUACCUCUCCGUCAUACGGAGUGACAAAUCACAGUCUCGAUUCAUGCCAACCCAACAGACACUUUCGGAGAUACCUGUAAUGUACCUUUAUAGUCACCUAGUUACGUUGUGACGUUUGGCACACCCAAGGCACUCCUACGGUAUCCGGGAGUUGCACAAUCUCAUGGUCUAAGGAAAUGAAACUUGACAUUCAGAAAAGCUACAGCAAACGAACUACACGAUCUUUGAGCUAUGCUUAGGAUUGGGUCUUGUCCAUCACAUCAUUCUCCUAAUGAUGUGAUCCCAUUAUCAAUGACAUCCAAUGUCCAUAGUCAGGAAACCAUGACUAUCUUUUGGUCAAUGAGCUAGUCAACUAGAGGAUCACUAGGGACGUGUUGUGGUCUAUGUAUUCACACAUGUAUUACGAUUUCCGGAUAACACAAUUAUAGCAUGAACAAUAGACAAUUAUCAGGAAUAAAGAAAUAUAAUAAUAACCAUUUUAUUAUUGCCUCUAGGGCAUAUUUCCAACAUAUUGGGCUUUAUUAUACACUUUUAUAUUAUUUUUGGGACUAACCUACUAACCGGAGGCCCAGCCCAGAAUUGCUGUUUUUUUUGCCUAUUUUAGGGUUUCAAAGAAAAGGAAUAUCAAACGGAGUCCAAACGGAAUGAAACCUUCGGGAACGUGAUUUUUGGAAUGAACAAGAUCCAGGAGACUUGGACCCUAUGUCAAGCAACCAACAGGUANNNNNNNNNNNNNNNNNNNNNNNNNNNNNNNNNNNNNNNNNNNNNNNNNNNNNNNNNNNNNNNNNNNNNNNNNNNNNNNNNNNNNNNNNNNNNNNNNNNNNNNNNNNNNNNNNNNNNNNNNNNNNNNNNNNNNNNNNNNNNNNNNNNNNNNNNNNNNNNNNNNNNNNNNNNNNNNNNNNNNNNNNNNNNNNNNNNNNNNNNNNNNNNNNNNNNNNNNNNNNNNNNNNNNNNNNNNNNNNNNACCUACGUACCCCCAAACGAUCAAAUACAAAGCCAAAACCCUAAUUCCACUGCCGUAACUUUCUGUAUCCACGAGAUCCCAUCUUGAGGCCUGUUUCGGAGCUCCGCGAGAGGGGGCAUCGAUCACGGAGGGAUUCUACAUCAACACCAUAGCCCUUCCGAUGAAGUGUGAGUAGUUUACCUCAGACCUCCGGGUCCAUAGUUAUUAGCUAGAUGGCUUCUUCUCUCUUUUUGGAUCUCAAUACAAAGUUCUCCCCCUCUCUUGUGGAGAUCUAUUCGAUGUAAAAUUCUUUUGCGGUGUGUUUGUUGAGACCAAUGAAUUGUGGGUUUAUGAUCAAGUUUAUCUAUGAACAAUAUUUGAAUCUUCUCUAAAUUCUUUUAUGUAUGAUUGGUUAUCUUUGCAAGUCUCUUCGAAUUAUUAGUUUGGUUUGGCCUACUAGAUUGAUCUUUCUUGCAAUGGGAGAAGUGCUUAGCUUUGGGUUCAAUCUUGCGGUGUCCUUUCACAAUGACAGUAGGGGCAGCAAGGCACGUAUUGUAUUGUUGCCAUCGAGGAUAACAAGAUGGGUUUUUCAUCAUAUUGCAUGAGUUUAUCCCUCUACAUCAUGUCAUCUUGCUUAAAGCGUUACUCUGUUCUUAUGAACUUAAUACUCUAGAUGCAUGCUGGAUAGCGGUCGAUGUGUGGAGUAAUAGUAGUAGAUGCAGGCAGGAGUCGGUCUACUUGUCUUGGACGUGAUGCCUAUAUACAUGAUCAUACCUAGAUAUUCUCAUAACUAUGCUCAAUUUUGUCAAUUGCUCAACAGUAAUUUGUUCACCCACCGUAAAAUACCUAUGCUCUUGAGAGAAGCCACUAGUGAAACCUAUGGCCCCUGGGUCUAUCUUCAUCAUAUUAAUCUUCCAACACUUAGUUAUUUUCUUUGCUUUUAUUUUACUUUGCAUCUUUAUCAUAAAAAUACCAAAAAUAUUAUCUUAUCAUAUCUAUCAGAUCUCACUCUCGUAAGUGGCCGUGUAGGGAUUGACAACCCCUUAUCGCAUUGGUUGCGAGGAUUUAUUUGUUUUGUGUAGGUGCGAGGGACUGGCGCGUAGCCUCCUACUGGAUUGAUACCUUGGUUCUCAAAAACUGAGGGAAAUACUUACGCUACUUUGCCGCAUCACCCUUUCCUCUUACGGGGGAAAACCAACGCAGUGCUCAAGAGGUAGCACUUGCAUUAGAGUAGUGUAGCAUGUUACUGCUUUUGGUUAAUCCUAUUCUAUUGCAUAGCAUGUCAUUGUUGCUACAGUUGUUGAUACCUUACCUGCAAUCCUAAAUGCUUAGUAUAGUUUGCUAGUUUAUCAUCAGUGACCCUACGUUCUUGUCCAUCUGCCAUGCUAUACUAUCGAGCCGUGAUCACUAGGGAGGUGAUCACGGGUUUAUACUAUAUAUCUUAUACUUGAUAGAUCUGAUGACUAAAGAUGGGUCGGCUCGUAGAGUACCCGCGAGUGAUUCAUGGAUUGGGAGCUGAAAGGACCUUUGUCCCGACGACCCUCUGGGUGGAUCUUUGUGGUGGAGCGACAGAGCAGGUUGAGACCACCUAGGAGAGAGGUGGGCCUGGCCCUGGUCGGCGUCCGUGGUUACUUCUAUAUAACACGCUUACCGAGAUCUUGGUAUUUGAUCUGAGUCUGGCCACUGGCCUAUACGCACUAACCAACUACGUGGGAAUAGUUAUGGGCACUCGACGUCGUGGUAUCAGCCGAAGCCUUCUUGACGUCAGCGACUGAGCGGCGCGCGCCGGUUGGACCGCGUAAUGCAACUUCCUUUGUAAUGGACGUUGCUAGAUCUGCUCACCGGCCACGUACUAAUAACCCACAAGUAUAGGGGAUCAAUUGUAGCAUCUUUCGAUAAGUAAGAGUCUCGAACCCAACGAGGAGCUAAAGGUAGAACAAAUAUUCCCUCAAGUUCUAUCGACCACCGAUACAACUCUACGCACGCUUAACAUUCGCUUUACCUAGAACAAGUAUGAAACUAGAAGUACUUUCUAGGUGUUUUUGGAUAGGUCUGCAAGAUAAUAAAGAGCGCGUAAAUAAAAAGUAGGGGCUGUUUAGAUAAAGAAACAAUAAAAUUAGUAUAGCAAGUGUGGAAAAGUGGUGGUAGGAGUUGUGAAAUUGUCCCUAAGCAAUUGACUACUUUACUAUACCGAUAGCAAGUUUUAUGUGGGAGAGGCCACUGCUAGCAUGUCAUCCCUGACUUGGAAUUCUAUGCACUUAUGAUUGGAACUAUUAGCAAGCAUCCGCAACUACUAACGUUCAUUAAGGUAAAACCCAACCAUAGCAUUAAGAUAUAUUGGUCCCCCGUUGGUAACCCACAAGUAUAGGGGAUCGCAAUAGUUUUCGAGGGUAGAGUAUUCAACCAAAUUUAUUGAUUCGACACAAGGGGAGCCAAAGAAUAUUCUCAAGUAUUAGCAGUUGAGUUGUCAAUUCAACCACACCUGUAAACUUAAUAUCUGCAGCAAAGGGUUUAGUAGCAAAGUAAUAUGAUAGUAGUGGUAACGGUAGCAAAAGGUAAUGAUAGCAAAAGUAAUGUUUUUGGUAUUUUGUAGUGAUGAUAGCAACAACAACGAAGAAGUAAAUGAGCGAAGAACAAUAUAUGGAAAGCUCGUAGGCAAUGGAUCGGUGAUAGAGAAUUAUGCCGGAUGCGGUUCAUCAUGUAAGAGUCAUAACCUAGGGUGACACAGAACUAGCUCCAAUUCAUCAAUGUAAUGUAGGCAUGUAUUCUAAAUAUAGUGUGACGCCCGGGUAAUUAAGCUACAGUAACCCUCUGGAAAUGAUGCCACGUCACCUCGGUUAGUGUUGAUAAUCUCACGUUAGUUCGAAACCGGUUCAAAAUUCAAAUUCAAAAUAUGGCAAACAACAAAGUUUUCAAACAUUAAAACAAAAAUGUUCGGACGGUGCCAAAUAUUACAUAGGUAAUUAUAGUGAAGAAAGCACAUGUUUAGAAUAUAUUUAAAUGCCCUAAAUUAAACAAAACAGAAAAGGAAAAUAAAUAAAAGAAAAGAAAACACAAAAAAAAGAAAAC